AAAAAAAAAAAAACUAAUCUGAUGCUGUGAAUAAAGGAUACAUCAUGAGAGCAGCACUACUCAUGUGCAGUGAACUAGUAAAGUUCAUAGCAUUACCAGGAGAUGUCACAAUCUCUUUCAACUUGAUCACGUUCUCAUGAUGUAGCUUCUUUAGAAUUUUGAUUUCACGGAUUGCUGUUAUGGGAAACUGCAGAGAAUAAAAGACUUGUUUUAAUAGUGAAACAUAAUAUUUUUCAAUUGGAUAAGUGGAAUCCUUUUUCUUUCAAAAAAAAAAAAAGUGGCAUUCCUUUAUAAUUGAUUGACCUCCAAACCAGUGAAUAAAAAAUACAAACACAAGCAGAUCGAAAAGACAUAUUGGACAUAUAUGAUUGUUCAUCUAGCAAGUUAAGUUAACAAAUAACUUAGCAAAAGCAUAGAAGUACCCCCUCUCUUUCAUUGUCCAUUCUUAUUUUCUUCAAAGCAACUAUUUCACCUGUCCUUAUUUCCCUGGCCAUGUAAACUUGACUGGAAAAAGAAAAGCAAAGCAUCAGAAAUCAAAAAUAGGUUCUGUCAUCUUCAAAAUCACAAAAGAAGAAAUCUAGAAAAAUAGGUUUUCAACAACAUAAAUUAGACGAUAAGCUCCAGAAUAGUGCAUCUAGUUUUACCUCAUUGGAGAUUUGAUCCCCAAUAAAGAGCUGCACUAUAAUGAACAGCUUGCCAGAAAUUUGGUAGUGAAUAGAUGAAGAAUCACAAUGAAGAAAACUGAGCUGAAAGUCAAAUUUUUAAACCUUUCUUCUAAAAAUUAGGAGCACUAAGAAAAUCAACUCACAAAAUUAUGCUUGAAAAGAAAAUGAUAGCGAAUAUCCCAUCUCAAAACUAGCAAUGCAUUAGACGACAAUUGUGAAGACCUUAUUGACACCAAUUUCAUAAAUUUCGCCAAAUUUAUGAGCAUAAACCAUAGAAGCACCACCAAAACGUUAUAUAAAAAGAAAUUAAAGAGAAAGGAUUCCUGAAAGCAUAUGAUUUCUCCAAACCAAAAAUAGUAAAAGUCAUACAAGCACCACCAGAAAGAUAACAGAAUUUGAGAGUAGGUAACAGACCCGUAAGUGCCCUCGCCAAUCUGCUCCAAUUUUUCGAAACAAUCGACACUUCUUGAUCCCCAAGAGGGAGACUCGUUAAGGUUAAGCUGCUGGCCAGGGGCUGUUAAAGCCAUAGUCCAAUCGUCCUCGGCUCAACUGCGCAGUGAAAACCCUUUCUUCUUUCUAUUCUAUUCUCUUGCUAAGGCUAAGGCAACAUCAUCACCAGGUUUCUAUCUUCUCUUAAAACCCAAAAUAAAGACGAGAUAAUAAAGAGAAGAAGUCAUACCGUCUUCUCCGGCGGCUGUGGAAUCCAAAAUUAAAUAAACUGUCGUCGGAUUUUGGUUUUGCGGCGGUACGGCGGCGGUACGGCGGUGGUCGAGCUUCUUGAUUUUGCCCCACUUGCCUAAAGCACAACACAGGUUUCCUUUUGAGCCUUGACACUGCAAGUCUGGAAUAGACGGAAUUUGCGAGUAAUUUCUUUUUGGUGUUUCUAAAUAUUUUUUUUAAUUAAAAAAAAAAUAAAAGUUUUCCUUUAAAAGAAGUAAUAAAUUUUUAGACUUUUAAAUUAAAUAACUAUUUUAUCCUUCAAUAUUUAUCUUUUUCGUCCCUAAAUUUACUAUUAUUAUAUUUUUUCUCCGUAUUUAAAAAAAUAUUAAAAUAUCUCUAAAUUUUAAUUCUACAUAAACUUCAAUCAAUGUUUUCUUUUCUCAUUUUUUUGUUAUUAAAAAAAUGUAUUAUUUGGAAAUUUUUAUUAAAAAUAAAAAUUUAAAUGAAUUUAUAUAUAAAUUAUAUAUUUUAAAUUAAAAAUUAAAUUAUCUUAUUUUAAAUAUGAAAAGUAAAAAAAUUAAAUUAAAUGCUUACAUAAUUUUAAUUAUAAAGAGAGAAUUAAAACCUACCUCUUCAAUUCAAUAUGCAUAUUAUUUUAUUUGUUUUUUUUAUCAAAAUAUUAAAUAUAUUAUAUUUAUUUAAGAGCUAUAGAGCUAGACUAGAUAUAAGGUCUAAAUCACCAAAAAAAAAUCCCAAAUAAACAAAAUCAGACCUAAAAAAAAUUAAACCCAAACUGAAUCAAUCAACCUCAAUCUCCAUCUCCAAAGCAUGCACCAGUAUUACUGAUGGCUCCUCACCUCCACGGCGCCACAGUGACUGAACAUUAGAGUUGAGCACCGGAGACCUUAAACAAAACCAAAGAAAAUAAAAGCACACAAAUAGGCAUAACAAUAGGCAUGCAUCCAGUCAACAGCACCGAACACAUUAACACACUGCCUUAGACAUCAACCAGUAAGAUCCAUAGCCUAUAAGUAGAAAGGCAUAGAAAAGCAACAAAAACAAGAGAGGUAGAGACAACCGACGUGCAAUAUAGACAAAUAAAUAACAUGACUUUUAUCAUAAGAUACGUUCAUCGACAAAAAUAAAUUAAAUAAAGAGACAUUAUAAAACUCAAUCGAAGAAGCCAAUAGUAGCAUUGAUUAAUGGAUGUGUUGGUGCAGUCUCGGGAUAUCGAUAUCACGCAUAGAGCAAUCCUUCUCAUCAGAAGCUAAAGUCGAAACCCAAACACAAGUCUCACUAGAUGCACACUCCCUUACCAAGCUAACGCAGACCUUAAAAAAAAGAUAGAAAUAAGAAAAAAAAAAGAAAAAUAAAAAAUAAAAAUAAUGUCGUCCCAUCAAUUUAUAGCGAGUGAGAGCUGGGAUAAAUGACAGCUUAAAAAAAACUCUUAUUUUUACUCGAAGAUAAGCAUAAACAUACCAAAGGAACCGGCUACAAAAUCAAAACCUAAAACCUUUUGCAAAAUUAAUAUUAUCCUUUCCGUUUUCUUUUCUCUCUAUCUUAUAUUUUAUUACGUUUUCUUUUCUAUCUUAUAUUUUAUUACAUUUAUGAUAUCAUGAGUAUUGUAAAAAUAUUAAAAUAUUUUAUUUUUUAUUAUUUAAUAAAAGUAAAUAUUUAAAUUUAUAACUUAUUAAUAAAUAUAAUUAAUAUUAAUUAUUAUUUAAAAUAAUAUAUAAUACUGUAUUCAAAAUUAAUUAAUGAAAAAUGAACAAACAAAUAUUAAAACAGCCAAACAAUGUGCUUUGCAUCUCACUUUUUCACUCUAUAUGGACAACAAAAUUUCUUCAAAAAAUCAAAGAUUUUAUUAUUUUUUUUAAUAUACUUAUUCAUUAUAAAUAGAAUCAUAUGAAAAAUUAAAGUGAAUUUCAAGUACAUAUAUAUGUGUGUUUUUUCCUAAUAAUUUCAACAAAGAGGAUCUCACUUCUCACAAUGUGUAAAGGCAGCUAUCUAUGAAAUAAUAACAUCAUCGGCUUUAAAUUAUAGAAUUUACGGCAUUUAGUUAAUUAGAUUAUUAUGUUUUUAUAUAAAAAAAUAGUAAUAUUUAAUUUGGAAAAAAUAUAGGAACAUGAUUUUGAUUUAAAAAAAAAACUUCCUCCUAAUUUGUAAUUACAUAAAUGUUAGAAACAUUAAUACAAAUUACUAAUGUUAUAAAGAUUAUACUGAUAACGUGGUCAGAAUAGAACUAUACUGUGAUUAGUUAGAGGUAGUGGGUUGAUAAAGCAUAUUCUAGAACAAUUUAUCAUGAUAUUAUUGAUGUUAAUUUACAUUAUUUCUGUCUAAUUUUAUGAUUUUAAUGUUAUUGUGCAGAAAAUAGUGUAAAGAGACAAUUUGGUGAAAAUACCCCUAAAACUGCCUUAAAUAGAGUAAAGGAGAGCAAAUAUGCCAAAUGCAACUUGAAAGGAGCCAAAUAAAGAAAGUAAUUUUAAAUUCAAAUUUCAAAUUCUUAAGAGAAUUCAAAAUUCAAAAUCAAGAUUCAGCUCAUUAAAGAAAAUGGCAAAUAAGAAAAGUGGCAAAUAAGGAAAGUGCAGUCUGCAGAGCAGUUUGAAAUUCAAGAUCUUCAAGAAUUUUUUUCCUUAUUGAAAAAGUCAAAUCUCUAGAAGAUGCACAUUCAAAUUUGAAAUUCAAAUUCAGCUUGUCAAACAAGCCAAAAAAGACACACAUGCCACCUCAAGUCUUACACAUUCAAAAUUCAAAAUUCAAAAUUCAAAGAGAGGCUCCACCUCAUUAAUGCAAGAUAUGGACGGCAUGGGCAGCACUUGGGCAGUCAAGAAUUCAACUUGGGCAGCAAGUAAGGACCUAGGACAACACUUUCAACUAUAAAAAGACACGUAAGGAGCCUCCCCAUGCUUUUUCUACUCCCCUUUGGACACACCUAUGGGAUUGCAAGUGGCACAAUCUCUUCUUCUUUCUUUCUUUAUUUUUGGGUUUUGUUUCAGUCAUGAGUGGCUGAAACUUUUAAUUCUAGUUGAAGAUUGGUUGAAACAUUAGUUGUAACGACCCGAAAACCGGUACCCCUCUCUAACGGCCCGAACCAUUACUGGCACUGGGAUCCAGAUCGGCAUAAGGCCGCCGGGACCCGUAGUAAGCCAAAUAUAACUCUGUGUACCUGAUAAAUCCCAUACAUGAUCAAAAAGAUACUCAACAAUCUUGUACAACGACCAGGCUUAACUACUGCUACUCAGAUAUACAAGUCUGAAACGGCCCUCAGGGCCUAUACCAGUGACUACUGACUGCUGUGGGUCAAGGGAUUGAAACCCUUUCUUCCCUCACUGUUAUGCUUUUGGGUCAAGGGCUUUGAUACCCUUUCUUCCCAAACACAACCCACUGGUCUCUCAUCAAAGCCAUACAUUAAGCCUGAUUCACACAUUUCUCAUCAAGAAACGUAAAACAGAAUCCAUAUACAAAGGGAUUCAUCAUACACCACACUACAGCAAAGACACUAGGGAAAGCAUGAGUCUAUCCAGUAUAUGACAGUACAUAUCGAUAUAUUACAGUACAACUCAUCUUUUAAUUACAUCAUGUCCAUUACUCUAUUACAAACAUACACUCAUGCAUAUCGUUACUCUUUACUUUUGCCGACUCUGACUUCUCAUAGCUAUCUCGAAACCUGCAAAACUAGGGUUUAGGGAGUGGGAUGAGCUCUAUAGCCCAGUGAGUAGGAACAAUAAAACAGUUCAUUAAAUACAUGCUUUCAUGAAAUGCAUCACAUCACAAACAUAUCAUCUCACGGAUGAACUUGUCACCAAGAGCCCUCUACCAUAGACAUAUCGUAAUAUGUCCUACUGUGCCAAGGAGACUAGGUCGUCACCUGGACUUCUCUUAUCUGACUGGCUGACUGUCUAUCUCAUAGUACCAGGAGCGACCUGGACUAUCCAGGAGCGACCUGGUAUGGGUACCUCAUGCCAUAUCUCAUCUCAUAGUAUCUUAUCUCAUAUCAAGGGCUACGAAUCAUCCAAUAUUCAUCCACAUGAACAACAUCUUAUGCAAUGCAUCAUAUUCAUGAAUUCUAAUGCAACACAACCUAAUACAUAACAUGGCAUUUUAUGAUGCAUGGAUUCAUGCUAGAAACGUGUCAUUUCUCAAGUUAAAACAUUAAGGUUAGUUCCACUCACCUCUAGCCACUGCUGGCUCACUCGGGGCCAAUUCUCACUCUGGGGCCUCCUCGGUUCUUCGGUCCAAACCUACACAGGUGGACUCAACUGAGGUACCAAACACACUCUAAACAACUCAUAAAUAACUUUUAAACAACUCUCCAAAACCCCUCUCAAACAUCCUAAAACAAUCACAUAAAGCAUGCAAAAGAAGGCUGGACAGGACACUUUCGGCGGCAGGUUCGGCGACCGAAUGUCCUCUCCAGAGCCAAAACUCAAGUACCUUCGGCGGCCGAAUCUCUACUUUCAGCAGCCGAACCCUUUCGGGAGCAAGGUUCGGGGGCUGAAACAUACUCCAGAGACGAAAGUCUCUAACCUUCGGUGGCACCUUCAGCGGCCGAAUCCCCCUUCUAGAGCCGAAACUCACAACUCUCGGGGGCGAGGUUUGGUAGCCGAAGCCACUUCCUCAAGGGGUUCGGCGGCCGAAUGUACCUUCGGCUGCCGAACCUGAGUUCAUCCAGAACUCAUCCUCGACGGCAACCAAGCUCCUCACUCCUUCCCAACACCCAAAACAUACAAAUCUCAAUUCCUCAACAUACAUAUACUCUAGUAUAUGCCCAAAGGGGUCCAAAACUAACUUAAAACCCCAACAAAAACAACAAACAUAACACAUAUACAAGCUUUCACCCAUAAACCAUCAAAACACACUUUGAAACCCAAUUAUGCAACUCUACCCAAAACCUCUAUAAAUCAUGAAAAGAAGUUCAAGAUCUUCACUUACCUCUUGAAUACAAGAAGAUGAACGAUCUGAACUGAGGGAUAUAGAGCAACUCUCCUUCAAACUCUCCAAACCACAAAACUUCUCUUUUUAGCUUAAAACCUUCAAAACAAUAUGAAAACCAAUCAAACCUUUGCAAGCUUUGAUAAAACCAUGAAACAUACCCAUGGAGGACAUGAUCUUACCUCUGGAAGUGAAAAGACAAGCUAUACUUAUCCAUUUCACCGACUGGAGGCGUUUUAUAGAUGGCAAACCGCCUCUCCUUCGGCUGCCGAACCUGCAUGCAAAACCAUGCAACGUUCGGCGGCCGAACUUGGAGUUUCGGAAGCCGAAUCUAAGGCACUUUCGGCGGCCGAACUUCACUUCGGUGGCCGAACCUGGCCAAUUCCUCCUUGGUCUUUUCUCUUCAAAACUCAAUCCGUUUCCAUUCUAAACCUUUAAAACACUUGAAAACAUUUGAGAAAACCUUUCUCUUACCCUUCUAGAAACAUCUCACAUCCUCGAAUUCCACCGGACGGUAGGAAUUUCGAUGUCUGAAUCUAGCCAGGUAUUACAUUCUUCCCCCCUUUAAGAACAUUCAUCCUCGAAUGUUUAAAACAACAAUAAACAUACAAGUAAGCAAUCAAGUAAGGCCGCAAACCUCUCUUCAAAGAGAGACACAGAGACCACUGGAGUAAAAACUCCCGGGUCUUCUAAUACAAGUACUAUUUUGAUCUGUGUCCACACUCUACACUGACUGCUUAUCACUCCUGCCGGUACACAACCGACUUGAUUCUUUCUUCUGACUACUGACCUUCCUUUCUCUUUGGCUCUUCUACGCUUUAUGCACACUAUUCUGGCUACACUAACCUUUGCUUCUCUUUACUCAACCCGGUCAGAGGAGCAACAACUCUAAGGAACAUUAAGCCUGAUUCACACAUUUCUCAUCAAGAAACGUAAAACAGAAUCCAUGUACAAAGGGAUUCAUCAUACACCACACUACAGCAAAGACACUAGGGAAAGCACAAGUCUAUCCAGUAUAUGACAGUACAUAUCGAUAUAUUACAGUACAACUCAUCUUUUAAUUACAUCAUGUCCACUACUCUAUUACAAACAUACACUCAUGCAUAUCGUGUAACGACCCGGAAACCGAUACCCUACCGUAACGGCCCGAACCGCCACCGGCGCUAGGAUCCAGAUCGGCUUAAGGCCGCCGGGACCCGUAGCAAGCCAAACAUACAUACUAUCACCUGGUCAAAUCCCAUACAUGAUUAAAACUUAACCAUAGAAACAUGAAAACUGAACAUCAGUUGAACCCAAACCUGACCUGUGCAUGUAUCCUGACAUNNNNNNNNNNNNNNNNNNNNNNNNNNNNNNNNNNNNNNNNNNNNNNNNNNNNNNNNNNNNNNNNNNNNNNNNNNNNNNNNNNNNNNNNNNNNNNNNNNNNNNNNNNNNNNNNNNNNNNNNNNNNNNNNNNNNNNNNNNNNNNNNNNNNNNNNNNNNNNNNNNNNNNNNNNNNNNNNNNNNNNNNNNNNNNNNNNNNNNNNNNNNNNNNNNNNNNNNNNNNNNNNNNNNNNNNNNNNNNNNNNNNNNNNNNNNNNNNNNNNNNNNNNNNNNNNNNNNNNNNNNNNNNNNNNNNNNNNNNNNNNNNNNNNNNNNNNNNNNNNNNNNNNNNNNNNNNNNNNNNNNNNNNNNNNNNNNNNNNNNNNNNNNNNNNNNNNNNNNNNNNNNNNNNNNNNNNNNNNNNNNNNNNNNNNNNNNNNNNNNNNNNNNNNNNNNNNNNNNNNNNNNNNNNNNNNNNNNNNNNNNNNNNNNNNNNNNNNNNNNNNNNNNNNNNNNNNNNNNNNNNNNNNNNNNNNNNNNNNNNNNNNNNNNNNNNNNNNNNNNNNNNNNNNNNNNNNNNNNNNNNNNNNNNNNNNNNNNNNNNNNNNNNNNNNNNNNNNNNNNNNNNNNNNNNNNNNNNNNNNNNNNNNNNNNNNNNNNNNNNNNNNNNNNNNNNNNNNNNNNNNNNNNNNNNNNNNNNNNNNNNNNNNNNNNNNNNNNNNNNNNNNNNNNNNNNNNNNNNNNNNNNNNNNNNNNNNNNNNNNNNNNNNNNNNNNNNNNNNNNNNNNNNNNNNNNNNNNNNNNNNNNNNNNNNNNNNNNNNNNNNNNNNNNNNNNNNNNNNNNNNNNNNNNNNNNNNNNNNNNNNNNNNNNNNNNNNNNNNNNNNNNNNNNNNNNNNNNNNNNNNNNNNNNNNNNNNNNNNNNNNNNNNNNNNNNNNNNNNNNNNNNNNNNNNNNNNNNNNNNNNNNNNNNNNNNNNNNNNNNNNNNNNNNNNNNNNNNNNNNNNNNNNNNNNNNNNNNNNNNNNNNNNNNNNNNNNNNNNNNNNNNNNNNNNNNNNNNNNNNNNNNNNNNNNNNNNNNNNNNNNNNNNNNNNNNNNNNNNNNNNNNNNNNNNNNNNNNNNNNNNNNNNNNNNNNNNNNNNNNNNNNNNNNNNNNNNNNNNNNNNNNNNNNNNNNNNNNNNNNNNNNNNNNNNNNNNNNNNNNNNNNNNNNNNNNNNNNNNNNNNNNNNNNNNNNNNNNNNNNNNNNNNNNNNNNNNNNNNNNNNNNNNNCCUGGUCCCCUCUGGACGACAGGUCCGAUUCUGCCAAGCCAAAAACCAAACUCAAAUAUACCCAAAUCCUCACAUACUCUCUUCCAAUCAUGCAUACUCACUCCCACAAGCAUAAAGGAGCAUAAACCAACAUAAACUCCUCAACACAAACAUCACAUAACAUACAUUGGGUAUAAAACCCACAUGAACCUAAACAUGCCAUUCUACCCAUUCAAAACUCCAAUAAACUUACUUAAAACUCAUUAAAACAUAAAAAGGAAGCAUAGAUCUACACUUACCUCUUGAAGAUCGAGGGUUGCGUGAUCUCUAACUCGGAGGUAUGGAGAAUCCAAGCUCCAAAAGCUCCAAGCUCCCAAAACUCCUUUUAAGCUUUAAAUCUUCAAACACAAGGGUAGAAAUCAUGAAAAACUUGAGAGGAUGGGUAGAGAAAACACGAAAACGACCAAAGGAAGGCAUAAACUCACCUGAGCUCGAGAAUGGGGAGAAAACUUACCCAUUUCCGAUCUGAGGGCCCUUUAUAGGUGGCCUGGUCGAAGACCUUCGGCAGCCUAACGUGCCCCCUAAACUCAUGCAUGUUCGGCGGCCGAACUUGACUUUCGGCGGCCGAACCUUGACUCGUUCAAACAAGACUUUCGGAGGCCAAAGGCGCUCCCGAAGCCUUCCCAUGUUCGGCGGCCGAACUUCACUUUCGGCGGUCGAACCUGGCACUUGCCUCCUUGGUCUUUUUCUUUUCAAAACUCAAUUCUAUUUCAAUUAAAACCAUUGAAAUCAUUAUAAAAACAUUUAGAAAAUACAUUUUACCCCUUCUAGAGAGAUCCAACACCCUAGAUUCCGCCGGAGGGCAGGAAUCCCGAUGCCGGAUUCUAGCCGGGUAUUACAUAUCGUUACUCUUUACUUUUGCCGACUCUGACUUCUCAUAGCUAUCUCGAAACCUGCAAAACUGGGGUUAAGGGAGUGGGAUGAGCUCUAUAGCCCAGUGAGUAGGAACAAUAAAACAAUUCAUUAAAUACAUGCUUUCAUGAAAUGCAUCACAUCACAAACAUAUCAUCUCAUGGAUGAACUUGUCACCAAGAGCCCUCUACCAUAGACAUAUCGUAAUAUGUCCUACUGUGCUAAGGAGACUAGGUCAUCACCUGGACUUCUCUUAUCUGACUCAUAUCAUAACAUGUCCCACUGUGCUAAGGAGACUAGGUCGUCACCUGUACUUCUCUUAUCUGACUGGCUAACUGUCUAUCUCAUAGUACCAGGAGCGACCUGGUAUGGCUACCUCAUGCCAUAUCUCAUCUCAUAGUAUCUUAUCUCAUAUCAAGGGCUACGGAUCAUCCAACAUUCAUCCACAUGAACAACAUCUUAUGCAAUGCAUCAUAUUCGUGAAUUCUAAUGCAAUACAACCUAAUACAUAACAUGGCAUUUUAUGAUGCAUGGAUUCAUGCUAGAAACGUGUCAUUUCUCAAGUUAAAACAUUAAGGUUAGUUCCACUCACCUCUAGCCACUGCUGGCUCACUCGGGGCCAAUUCUCACUCUGGGGCCUCCUCGGUUCCUCGGUCCAAACCUACACAGGUGGACUCAACUGAGGUACCAAACACACUCUAAACAACUCAUAAAUAACUUUUAAACAACUCCCCAAAACCCCUCUCAAACAUCCUAAAAUAAUCACAUAAAGCAUGCAAAAGAAGGCUGGACAGGACACUUUCGGCGGCAGGUUCGGCGGCCGAAUGUCCUCUCCAGAGCCAAAACUCAAGCACCUUCGGCGGCCGAACCCUUUCGGGGGCAAGGUUCGGGGGCUGAAACAUACUCCAGAGACGAAAGUCUCUAACCUUCGGCGGCACCUUCGACGGUCGAAUCCCCCUUUCAGAGCCGAAACUCACAACUCUCGGGGGCGAGGUUUGGCAGCCGAAGCCACUUCCUCAAGGGGUUCGGCGGCCGAAUGUACCUUCGGCUGCCGAAUCUGAGUUCAUCCAAAACUCAUCCUCGACGGCAACCAAGCUCCUCACUCCUUCCUAACACCCAAAACAUACAAAUCUCAACUCCUCAACAUACAUAUACUCUAGUAUAUGCCCAAAGGGGUCCAAAACUAACUUAAAACCCCAACAAAAACAACAAACAUAACACAUAUACAAGCUUUCACCCAUAAACCAUCAAAACACACUUUGAAAUCCAAUUAUGUAACUCUACCCAAAACCUCUAUAAAUCAUCAAAAGAAGUUCAAGAUCUUCACUUACCUCUUGAAUACAAGAAGAUGAACGAUCUGAACUGAGGGAUAUAGAGCAACUCUCCUUCAAACUCUCCAAACCACAAAACUUCUCUUUUUAGCUUAAAACCUUCAAAACAAUAUGAAAACCAAUCAAACCUUUGCAAGCUUUGAUAAAACCAUGAAACAUACCCAUGGAGGACAUGAUCUUACCUCUGGAAGUGAAAAGACAAGCUAUACUUAUCCAUUUCACCGACUGGAGGCGUUUUAUAGGUGGCAAACCGCCUCUCCUUCGGCUGCCGAACCUGCAUGCAAAACCAUGCAACGUUCGGCGGCCGAACUUGGAGUUUCGGAAGCCGAAUCUAAGGCACUUUCGGCGGCCGAACUUCACUUCGGCGGCCGAACCUGGCCAAUUCCUCCUUGGUCUUUUCUCUUCAAAACUCAAUCCGUUUCCAUUCUAAACCUUUAAAACACUUGAAAACAUUUGAGAAAACCUUUCUCUUACCCUUCUAGAAACCUCUGACAUUCUCAAAUUCCACCGGACGGUAGGAAUUUCGAUGUCUGAAUCUAGCCGGGUAUUACAUUAGUUGUUUUAUGGAUUGGGAGAUCUGAACAUACAUUGUUUAUCUUUGGUUUAUUCAAUAUUUAUGCAAUUUCAUGCUUGAUUCCAUUAUUGCUUUGUUAUUUUGAUCAAUGUGGCCAAUUGAUUCUUGAUUGCAAGGUAAUAUAUUGUUAGUUUGAAUAAUUUUGAGUCCGUAAUUGCUUGGAUUGUUCAAACACAAGAACACUUGGUGUAAAAACUAAGGAAGUUGUAUAAUCUAGUAAUAUCACCAUGCGUUUGGGUAGCUAGAAUUAGGUCUCUCUAUUUCUUAAUGCAAUUGACAGUUGUUUUGAUGCCUAAGGCCCAAGGACGUUCAUUGACAACUUGAUUAGUAAUUAAUUAGAGGACGUUCCCUAAUUGAUUUAUGCCUAAGGAGAGAUAUGGUGGUGAGAAGCGUUUUCCAUCUCCAUAACUAAUUUAUUGAAUCAAACAAAGGAACCUAAGUUUCAAUGAUCAAUCCCAAUAACUGAAGUGGAUCCAAUUCUUCAACUAGAUCUUUUUCAUUAUUGAAUCUCUUUAUUUUAUUAUUUUGCUUUACUUUAUUGCUUUCUUUAUUAAUUUAACUGAAUCAAUCUCAAAACCCUCCUUUUUAUUUCGGUUUCAGUUUAUUUCGCUUUCAGUUUAUUCCGCUUUCAGUUUAUUUUCUUGGUCUUGAUUUGGAAGAUAGGUAAGUUUUCAAUUCCCUGUGGAUUCGAUCAUUUCACCACUAUCUACAGUUGUAAAAUUGUUGAUAACCAAAAAUGUUAUUUUUGACCGGCUUCGACAACCGCGAGUCAUGGGUGCCCACAACAGCUAUUCUGACGCUCAAAUCAGUAUGUUGAGGAAUAGAAAGAAUGCAAUGAAUUGCUUAGAACUUGAGUAGUGUGAGAGAGUAGCGUACUUUUGCCACAGUGAUCCUUUUCUUUUUAUACUGUAAAAAGGUGAAGAUAAAUAUAGUAUUUCCUGACUCGAUGAUAUAGUCGGCUUCUUGAUAAGGAAUAUUACCAGCUAACAGGUUGGUGAUUUCGAGAUUACAGGUGUAACAGAGAUACGCUGGACUGUCCCCAUUUAAUGGUAACUUUGUAGAGAGACUCAUUCCAUCCAAGAGAGGGCGAGCCUUGACGAUGAACCGAUGUUUAAGAUGUUUGGGUUUUUCUUUCCUUGAGUAUGACCACGUUACUUACUUAUCAAGUUCUUACCACGUGGACCUAUCUUGAAGUGACAGCUCAUGACUUACUUUGGACAUUUGUUAUGUAGCAUCAGAGGUCCCCACUAGUCUUCAAUUUUUUAAAUUCGAAGGUGAUAAUUAUUCUCGAGAUCUAGGGCACGUGGCCUACUGAGAUUGGCUUUCUGUUGCUCAUGCUGUUUUGCCUAUCUAGCCCCUCAAUGAUGAUUGUUCUGUUUAUCGUACCGCAUUUAAAGUUUGCUGUCAAAACUAUCUUAUAAAAAUCCUUCUUUUUCCACAAAUAUCACUUUUGCUUUCACCUGUGACAUUCUUCUUUGAAAAAAACUCAGUCACAUCUUCUUUUUCGUUUAUACUUUCUACGAUAAUUUUUGUUUCCUUUUUUCUUUUCAAGAUGAAUAGGAAUACUUCCUCUUCCCUUACUCCUAGUGGAGAUUAUGCUUCAAACUCCUCCUCUGACGAUCCCAUCUGUGUCUCGGUCCCCAUUGUUCUAUUGAGGGAGGCUCCAGAAAGUGAGGAUAGUUCUAUUAGUGACAUCCCCUUUGUCUUAUCAGAGUAGGAUGUAGAGCACCUUUAUGACACAUACUAAAUCCCUCGAGAGACCUUUUGCAUCUUUGCCCAUUCUCCCUACGUUCGUGUGAAUGACUUGAUUCUUGCGGAAGACACUAUUAUGGUCUUCAAGGAGGCAUCCUAAUAGCUGGAGAAUCUUGGUGGUUUUCCGACUUGUCUGCCUUAAUAACCACAUUAAAUCGAGUGUAAUGCUUUUGAAUUUUAGUAUUUUAGCAGGCGAAAACACCUGACUAUAUUCAAUUCAAUACCUUCCUCCUUGAAGAGGUGAAAAAAAUAAGUUUUUUAUUCUCCGUCAUUGGACAUCUGGGGGUUUUGGGCGCCUUCAAAUGAGCUAGCACUUCUGGGUGGAAUUGAGGAAGGAUGGGGUCCCUAUAAAGAGGGAGAAGGAUGAGGUUUUAGCAUCCCUUUUGACAAUGGCUAAAUCUAUGAAAAAACUGACAUUACCCAAGCGGUGAGGAGCUCUGUUUUGUACUGGCAAAGUCAUCUUUAGGUGAUCCAAGCUUGAGAUCCUCGCCCAUCCAGCCUCCCUAGCCUUGGGGAUGGUACCUCCCUUGCUAAUGAUCAGGGUACUUCUCUUUCUGCUUUUUUAAGUUUUCAAACUACUUUGCCUACUUACUUUUCUCUUUUUGCAGAUAUGGCUGGGUCUAGAAGCAGAUUUGCUGAGGCAGCACGUGCUGCUUGCAAGGGCAAAACUGUUGUUGGGAUAACUAGGCCCCCCUUUAACCAUGCUCCUUAGACAGAAGAAGUGAUCAUGCUUCCUCCUCCUCCUCCUCCUCCUCCUCCUUCGGCCCAACUGUAGUAGAAGAGUCGUCCCACUUACAGCCGGGUCUUCUACUCUGGGCACCUCUGCUUCUACCCUAACCUCUGAGCUUCCUGCUGCUGUCACUACUCCUUCUGAGCCUACUCCUGCGAGCGUGGGGUUGAGUCUUUAUGGCCUCCAAGCAUCAAACGCAUGGCAUUGGCGCUAAACCGGGUGCCUUCUCUCAUUGAUGAUCCUACUCUGGGCAUCCUGUCAAUCAAAAGUGCCUUAAGGCUCGUGGAUCUCUACUACCUGAAUGAGUUUGAGAUAGACGAGCUUUUUGAUAAUGUCAUGCACUCUGCCUUGGAGAGUGCCCUCUAUGCUUAUGUGGCCAAGGAGUAUCAUAAAGCCUUGAGGCGGCAAUUUGGUACCCGAGAGACGGAUAUGAGGCUCUUGGUUGAGGAGUGCUCAAGGUUGAAGACUCGGGUCGAUGGAGUGAAGGGCACCAUGAAGGGCACCAUGAAGGAGACCCUAGAGUCGGUGGAUAAGCUCCAGGCUUAGCUGAAUGAGGCCAAUACUUCCAAGCUGGCCCUUGAAAAUUGAGCAAAGACUAUUGAGGAUUAGGUGGCCCUGUUGCAUCGUCAAAUCCUGGAGUUACAGGCUCAUGCUGAGGAGGCCCAAGCCGCCUCUUCCAGAGUUGUCGAGCUUGAGGCAGAGUUGUAGGAAAUGGUGGCCCAAAGUGGGGAGAUGUUCGUUUGAGGCUAAGACUUGGUAAAGAAAGAGCUGGUGAAACGGUUUCCUUUUGAAGACUUUUCUUGGAUAGACGACAUCUUCCCUGAGGAGGAGAGAGAUGAGAUUGAAGAGGGGGAGGGACGAGCUGAGGAUAGCUCCAACGAUCGAGUCUUUACAAAUAAUGUAAUAAAUGCGAAAAAUAGUGAUGUAAUAGAGACUGAGGCUGAGGAACCUAAAGGUAUUCCUCCUCCCUUGUAAUCUUUUAAAACUUCAAUGAAAAUAUUUUCUCAUGUCAUUAUUUUCACUGAGUGUUUGUAUACUCUAUGCUCGUUCAUAACUCUCUUUCAGGACUUCUUUUAAAGAAUUCCUAAGGUUUAACACCUGUAACAGCCCGGAAACCGGUACCCUACCGUAACGGCCCGAACCAUCACCGGCGCUAGGAUCCAGAUCGGCUUAAGGCCGCCGGGACCCGUAGCAAGCCAAACAUACAUACUAACAACUCAUAAACAUACCCCCCAAAAACCCCUCUAAAAGCCACUUAAACAUGCAUGGAAAACACCCAAGAAACGGCUGGACAGGGCACCUUCGGCGGCACCUUCGGCGGCCGAAAGUCCCUUCCAGAGACGAAACUCGGGUAGGUUCGGCGGCAGGUUAGGCGGCCGAAACCCUAGGACAGAAACGAAAGUCCCUNNNNNNNNNNNNNNNNNNNNNNNNNNNNNNNNNNNNNNNNNNNNNNNNNNNNNNNNNNNNNNNNNNNNNNNNNNNNNNNNNNNNNNNNNNNNNNNNNNNNNNNNNNNNNNNNNNNNNNNNNNNNNNNNNNNNNNNNNNNNNNNNNNNNNNNNNNNNNNNNNNNNNNNNNNNNNNNNNNNNNNNNNNNNNNNNNNNNNNNNNNNNNNNNNNNNNNNNNNNNNNNNNNNNNNNNNNNNNNNNNNNNNNNNNNNNNNNNNNNNNNNNNNNNNNNNNNNNNNNNNNNNNNNNNNNNNNNNNNNNNNNNNNNNNNNNNNNNNNNNNNNNNNNNNNNNNNNNNNNNNNNNNNNNNNNNNNNNNNNNNNNNNNNNNNNNNNNNNNNNNNNNNNNNNNNNNNNNNNNNNNNNNNNNNNNNNNNNNNNNNNNNNNNNNNNNNNNNNNNNNNNNNNNNNNNNNNNNNNNNNNNNNNNNNNNNNNNNNNNNNNNNNNNNNNNNNNNNNNNNNNNNNNNNNNNNNNNNNNNNNNNNNNNNNNNNNNNNNNNNNNNNNNNNNNNNNNNNNNNNNNNNNNNNNNNNNNNNNNNNNNNNNNNNNNNNNNNNNNNNNNNNNNNNNNNNNNNNNNNNNNNNNNNNNNNNNNNNNNNNNNNNNNNNNNNNNNNNNNNNNNNNNNNNNNNNNNNNNNNNNNNNNNNNNNNNNNNNNNNNNNNNNNNNNNNNNNNNNNNNNNNNNNNNNNNNNNNNNNNNNNNNNNNNNNNNNNNNNNNNNNNNNNNNNNNNNNNNNNNNNNNNNNNNNNNNNNNCUAGAGAGAUCCAACACCUUAGAUUCCGCCGGAAGGCAGGAAUCCCGAUGCCGGAUUCUAGCCGGGUAUUACAUUCUUCCCCCCUUACAAAAACAUUCGUCCCCGAAUGUUAAAACAACAAACACAAGCAUGCAAGCAAGCAAGCGAAUCCUAAAGCUUCUCUCCAAAGAGAGACACCAAACGCCGGAGUAAGAACUCCCAGGUUCCUAAACACCCAUCCACUGUAGUAGCAAUAGCUUGAAAACCUUUGAACAAUGGAGAUAACAUCCGGAUAUAUGGCCUAGCAAAUGCAUGCCUUGGGUCUAAAGUAUCCUAUAGGAUUUUCUGUAUCCUUAAGGCUAGUACUCGCCCGUGAACACCAGUCUUGUGGCUUAGGCCUCGAAUGUCUCAAAAGUAUUAUAUGAGGCUAUCACCCGGUAAUUGAAUCUAGUGAAACCUGCCUCAUGGCAUGGCACGAAGGCUUCUAUUAGUGAGGCCCUCACCCUUUUUGGCUUGGCUCAAACUCACUAUAGCCUUUGGGCAUGCCUUGGGAUUUUUUAUUGGAGAUCAACACGUGGCAAGACCCGCCUUAUGACCCCUUAUGAUCGAUCACCUUUGAUGAAUGGAACCAACGCUCAUAUGGUAUGGCGAAACCCGCUUUGUGGCCUUGUUCAGUGGGAUCAAUGCCCGAAUGUCUGGUAGAAUCCGCCUUAUGACUUAGCCUGGUGGAAAACAAUAUUGUGGCCUUGUUUAGUGGGACCAAUGCCCGAAUGGUCUGGCAAAAUCCACCUUGUGACCUGACUUGGCGGAAAAUCGCUUUGUGGCCUUGUUUAGUAGAACCAAUGCCCGAAUGGUCUAUUGAAACCCGUUUUGUGAUCUAGCCUGGCGGAACCCGCCUUAUGGCCUUGUUUAGUGGGAUCAACAUCCUUUUUGGCCUGGCUCACACUCGCCCUAUAGCCUUUGGGCACGCCUUAUGAUUUUUUUAUGAGGGAUCAACACCUGGCAAGACCCGCCUUGUGGUCUCUUAUGAUCACCUUUGAUAAGUGUGAUCAACGCCGGGAUGAUCUGGCGAAACUCGCAUUCUGGUUUGGCGGAACUUGCCUUGUGGCCUUGUUUAGUGGGACCAAUACUUGAAUGGUCUGGUGGAAUCUGCCUUAUGGCCUUAUUUAGUGGGACCAACGCUCGAAUGGUCUGGCAGAACCUGCCUUCUGAGCUGGCCUAGCGGCACCUGCCUUGUGACCUAGCCUAACGAAAACCCGCAUUGUGGCCUCUUCUUGUUUCUUUAAUCUUUUUUUUAGGAGGGCAAUCUCAUCGUUCCUUAUCACUGAAGAACGCAACAUAUAAAAAUACCUCGUUAACUUUAUUAUUGAAAAAAAUUUUCUUAUGUUAUAAUUAUAUCGGGAGUAGAGAAUCACUCGACCCUCUAGCUUGGCCAGCUUAUCCGAUUGCUGGGCAAAUGACCUUUGAGAUUUUACAAGGUCUUUUUCCAACUUAUCGAACCAGCAAUUAUAUUUGUUGUCUACUUACUUUCCCUAAUCGUCCCUAGGUCCUUCCGUUAUUACAUAUAUAACCCCUACAUGCUCUCGAUCAGGAAUGGUUUCGGGAGUUAUUUCUUUGGGCUCAGGUCUCCUCUCUUCCCUACUCUUCCUGGUGAAUUUCCAAAGAGUAUCUUCCUUUAUCAACCUCUCGAUCUCAUCCUUUAGUUGUCGACAUUCUUCUAUCAUAUGACCGUGAUCUUCAUGGUAGUACUUGGUAAUAUAUCAUUUUUUUGCUUUUUCAGGGUUGAGCUUGGGCGACCACCUAAUUUAUUUGUCAUUUUUUCUAAUCUACAUCAAAAUAUGAGUUCAUGAGUCAUUUAACGGAGUAUAGUCCUUAUACUUACUUUGAUCAUCCCUCUUUCAAGAGAUGGGAUAACUCUUGUGAUCUCCUUUAUGUCAUCGCCUCUUGGGCUUUUAACUUUGCUUUUGAUUCGCUGUCUUGUCUUCUUUUAAUACUUGGACUUUGUCAUCCAACCUGAUAUACUUCUGAGUUUUAUCUAUCAACUGUUGAUGCAUCGUGGUUGGAUUUUUCAUUAAGGAAUGCAUGAAUUUAAUAUUGCGCAUUCCUUUCUUUAAUGCUUCACACGCUAUUUCAUGAUUUUGUUCUUCCACUUGUAUGCCUUUAGCAUUGAACCGUAAGAUAAAACUCCUUAAAGACUCGCUCUCUCUUUGGAGGAUCUUCUGCAAGUUAGAGAAAUUUUUUUUAUGAGGUAUACAAGUAAUAAAUCUAGAUUUAAAUAACUUAGCAAACUAUGUAAAGUUUAAAAUUAAACCUGGACUUAGAUAUUGGUAUCAUUUAUGAGUCAAACUUGUGAGUAUUGAUGGAAACACUCGGCACAAUACAAAGUUGUUGACAUCCUGAAGUUGCAUGGUUGUCCUGAAGAUUGCUAGGUGGCUUUUGGUAUCUGCUGUUUCGUCAUACUUGUUUAAACUAGGUAGCUUGAACUUGACUGGAAAGGUUUGUACUAAGAUUUCUUCCAAAAGAGGCGAGGCACCAUCUAGGCCGAACUCCUCCUCUUAUUCCUUUUGGUAUCUUUGCACGGUCCAUGCUAGCUUCUAAUCGAUGCCCUUCGGAGUUUCGUCUGAUUCAUCUUUGGACUCGGCCUUUCAUUUAGGCCGCAUUUUGUCCGCUUCUAUUUGGGCCUUUGGGGUAUCUACAGAAGCUUCUUUCAUUCUUCCGAGAGCCAUGUUUGAUGCCUCCUCUCGAGUCUUGUACUGCUCGAGAGUAGCCUACAGUCUUUGGAUGUAUUGGAGUAUCUGUUCGUUGUUUAAAUUAUUGAGGUCUGCUUCAUUGACUAUAGAGGGCAUGUUUUGUCUAUUGUCAGAGACGGAAGAAAUGAUGACACCUUUGUUGGUAGCAAUAUUAGUAGUAGCUCGUGAACUAUCGGCCAUUUGGAGAGUGAAAGGAGAGGGAGGUAUUUUUCUAUGAGAGAAAGAGUAGGAGCUCGGUCGUAAUCCAAAUGAAUAGAGGGAAUUCAAUGGAUUUCCUGACAACGGAACCAAAUGAUGUUGUAAAGAUUAGAUUAAUGAUGUGAUUGGAAUAAAGUUACACUGUGAUUGACUAGACCUGCAAAGAAGAGAACGUGAGGUGCUGGGUGUCCACGACAACCACUCCAAUGCUGAAAUCAGUAUGCUGAGAAAUAGAGAGAAUAUAAUGAAUUAUCUAAAACUUGAGUGGCGUAAGAGAGUAGCGCACCUUUACUUCGAUGAUCAUUCUCCUUUUAUAAUAUAAGAAGGUGGAGAUAAUUCUUGAUAAUCCGACGACGGUAUAGCCGGUUGCUUGAUAAAAGAUAUUGCCUGAUAACAGGUUGGUGAUCCCACGAUUACAGGCUGGAUUGUCCCCGUUUAAUGGUGACUUUAUACUAAGACUCAUCUCAUCUAGAGGAAAGCGAGUUUUGACGAUUGACCAAGUGUAUGAAAUGUCUAAAUUUUUAUUUUUUUAGAUGGAACUGUAUUAUUUAUUUAUUAGAUUCUUAGCACAUAAAUCUAUUUUGAGAUAAUAGCUUAUAAUUUAUUUUAGACAAUUUAUCUAAUAUUUAGAUUACAACAAAAAAGUUCUUAUAUUUUAAAUUCAUUUAUUAAAUUCCCUUCUCUAAAGUUUAAUAUAUAUAUACUUUUACCAUUACAUUUUAAAAUAUAAUUCUAUUUGCAUUAAGAUCUAAAUAAACAAGACAAACACAGGCCAAACUCAGAUUAACAAUAAGCGAAAUAAUAUAUAUAUAUAUAAAUAUCACUUUAUUUUUUAAAAUUUAAUAAUUUAAUUUUUAUAUUUUGACUUUUAAAUUAAAAGUUUUUCGCUUAAUUUUUAUUAAUUAUUUUAAAUAAUUAAAAUAUUUUUGAAUAAACCUUUUUCGUGCAAUCGUUUUAAUAUCAUGGGUCAUGUUUUUUUUUUUUAUAUUUUUUAGAUCUAAAAUUUUUUGACUUUUUUUAAUGCAAAUAUGGAAGUACAUAACAGUAACUUGGUUAAUUAACCCUUUUUCUUCCCUCCUCAAGUGUCUGCCAGGCCCUCCUCCAUUUCCUCACAGCACUGAACGGCUGCAAAAUAGCCGCAAUCUCUUCCUCCUUCCGGCGACCAAGGUCAGAUCCCGGUUUCAUUCACUCUGCACGUCGAUCAAAUUCGCCGCCUCCUCUUCACCGUCUCUGCGUCAAGCGAGCAAACUGCCAGCUCUUCUUCAUCACCUUUCCAAUCACCAAAAAUUUCGAAAAAUUUAAUUCUAAAAAUCUAGAUUAUCAUAUGAAUCUUUAUCUUCUCAAACUAUCUGUUAUGCGUUAUUUUUGCUGAUCAGCUCGCUCUACAAGGACUGAGAAUACGAAACAGUGACUGAAUGGCGACAUAUUCGCAGCUAAUUUCUACAUGGCUAACCCCACAGCUCCAUUGCCCAUACACACGCAUCUCCACAAGCCAGCAAAACAGGAGCCACGCCAACCACCUCCACCGCUUGACAGUACAGCGACACCACCUUGAGUGGUUAGUUCUUGAUAUAUAUAAAUAUACUUUUUUAUUUGCAUGUAUUCUGUUUGGCGAUGUGGACAUGCUUGGUGGCACAUAAAACUUCUAAACGGUGAUUCUUAUAUGGAGCGGGCUGAGGGCGUAUUCUCUGGCUGCAGCCCAUAAGUACUACAUUAGCAAAUUCACUAUUCAAUAUGAACAUGGAACCACCUGGGCAGAUUAAGACCGAAAGAAGUUUGUGAGAUAUCAGUUAAACUCUGUUUUAGCUAUUUUAAUGAAUUUCGACGAGAAUGGUGCCAGAAGUAGAGUUGGGAAGCUUAAUGAUACAAUGUUUUAUUCCUUCUAAAUACCUUUGUUUGUUACCAUAAAUGUUUUCAGUAAAGUUGCCUUAUAGAUCUUUUGAUUAUUAGCUUAUUUCAAUCUUAGAAAGGCUAUUCAAUGCGGUUAGGAUACUGAUAAUUGAACACAAAGGCUGAAAACUACUAAAGGAAAAAAAAAAGAAAAGGUUAUAAUUAUAAAAUUCUUAGCAUGCCCAUGCAAUGUUGCUCAUCAGAAAAUAAAAAGAUAAAAAAUGUCAAUGAAGAAGAAAUUAGAGUUGAAUUGCCUAGAAUUAUAAGGUUAAUUCUUUGGGAACUAAUGGGUUUGAUGCCAUGGGGUAGCAGAGGAGCCAAUUUAAUUAACAAAAAAUUAUAUUCAUUAAUGUUCAGCACUUAACUAAAAUGCUUGAAGAUAUUAGGUUGACUAUUGUGGUGUGGAAAUGCAUCAGCUUGAUGCCUUUUUAAUGUGAUAACUGAAUUACAUACGUCAAAAUAGUGGAUCAUGCUGUUGCUAUGAAUUAUUGAGAUCUCUAAAUAAAAUCCCGAAAGGUAAGUGGCACAAUUCAUUAGAUGACUGGUUAAGUAGUUAUUUAUAAUGAGACAUUAUACUAGAUGAUGGUUAGAAUGCUCCAAGUUCGAUUGGUGUGAGAGCUGAGAAGCAUUAAGACCUGUUAUUGGUUAAGCAUCUGGAAGGAAGCACUUUUAUUUACUUUUGUUCAAAUCAAAGUUUUUGUUGUUUAAUGUUUCUCUGAGGCUCUACAUCCUUCACUUACAAUAAUGCUGGAUAUUCAGACGAAGAUCCAUAUUUUGGAGUUGUCAUCCUAUGUUAGAAGCUCAAAAUUCUUUUCUAUUUUUGUGAAUAAGCUGCUGAACGGUUCAUGUGACCUUUUCGUCCAGGACAAGUUUUGUUUCUCAACAGGGAAGAAGGGAGUUAGGAUGUGGUCAUCUCUCUUCUUCAGUUAAAGGUGCAUUGGCUGUUCAAUUUUCUUGUUUAGUUUGAACUCAUAAAUACAAGCUUAUAACUAAUAAGUAUGGUAGUUUGUUCUAUUUGUGAAUUUUUCCAUUGCUUUUAGCUGUUUUGCUGGAUGAAUCCAAGGAAAGGACUCGCCUUCCAAAAGGCAACAUGUGGUCGGUCCAUAAGUUUGGUGGUACUUGUGUGGGAACCUCUGAGAGAAUCAAGAACGUAGCAGAGAUAAUUUUUAAUGAUGGUUCAGAAGGGAAGUUGGUGGUUGUGUCAGCAAUGUCAAAGGUGACAGACAUGAUGUAUGACCUCAUCUACAAGGCACAAUCACGAGAUGAUUCUUAUAUUGCUGCUGUUGAUGCUGUUUUUGAAAAGCAUAGAUUGACGGCAGCAGAUCUUCUUGAUGGGGAUGAUCUCACUAGUUUUCUGGCCCAGUUACGUGAUGAUGUUAAUAACCUCAGGGCCAUGCUUCAUGCGAUAUACAUAGGUAUCAGACUUGUCUCUCUGCAAAAUUGUUGAUGAAUGGAUAGAUGGGCACACUUAAGGAAGUACUAGUAUGAGAGCAGUCAUUCGACGCAAUAGUGCUAUUUUAUUGUUUCUUUUGUCCCCCCAGGUUAUGAUUGUAUGAACUGUGGCUCUUGAGGCCAGUGGUGAAUCAUACAUCAUUUGCCUUGCACCUCAAUUUCCAAUUGCUGGCAUUUGGAUCUGUCUUUCUUCAAACAUGCAUUCUUUUUCAUUUUUCUUACCCUUGAGGAUUGUGAAAGUAGGAUUAAGGGUUUUAUUAAAUAAGAAACAAUAUCUACUUCUUGAACUUACUGAGAAUGCAAUAGCAAAGGAACAGAUAACAAUGUUUAUAACAUUUCACAUGCAUUGGCUGUAUAUUUUGUGUACUAGCUUCUUUUAUAUUAAAAUGAGUUGCUGUAAUGUGUUUCGUGAGGAUUGUUUUAUUUGGACUUCUACUGCCUCUAACAACCAACUUAAUCUAUUGCAGCUGGUCAUGCAACAGAAUCAUUUUCUGAUUUUGUUGUUGGACAUGGAGAAUUAUGGUCUGCUCAGAUGUUAUCAUAUGUUGUCAGAAAGGUCCCUCUUUAUUUUCUCAUAAAGUUGAUUAGCUGUCAAUUGUAGCUUGUCCAUGUUUUCUGAGUAUGAUUUUAUUGAUUUCUUGUGCAGAGCGGGUUAGAUUGUAAAUGGAUGGAUACAAGAGAAGUGCUUAUUGUAAAUCCUACCAGCUCUAAUCAAGUUGAUCCUGACUUUGUGAAAUCUGAAAAAAGACUUGAAGAAUGGUUAUCUCGAAAUCCUUGUAAGACAAUUGUUGCAACUGGUUUCAUUGCCAGCACACCUCAGAAUAUUCCGACAACUUUGAAGCGGGAUGGAAGUGACUUCUCUGCGGCAAUAAUGGGUGCUUUGUUGAGGGCUCGACAAGUCACUAUUUGGACUGAUGUUGAUGGGGUCUACAGUGCAGACCCCAGAAAAGGUUUGUGCUAGGUCUCAUGUGCGUUCAUGGUGAACACUUUUCUGCAGAAGGGAUCUACCUUAGCAUGUGUUACUUGCAGAACAACUAGAAUCCUUGAUAGCACUUCUUAAUAAAAAGGUAUUAAUUAUAAGGUUCAAUGAAAGCCUAACAUUCCUAAUCAUUUUCUCCCCUUUGUUUUUGCAGUUAGUGAGGCUGUGAUACUAAGGACAUUAUCUUAUCAAGAGGCCUGGGAAAUGGUAGCUUUUAUCAAUUUUCUCAUGCCUUUCAUAGGUGUUUUAGUUUCUGACUUUAUGUUUCUAAGAUUAGAUUUAUGUGCUCAUGCAGUCGUAUUUUGGAGCAAAUGUUUUACAUCCCCGCACUAUUAUUCCUGUUAUGCGGUAUGAUAUUCCAAUCAUGAUAAGGAAUAUUUUCAACCUUGCUUCACCUGGAACAAUGAUCUGCCAGCCUUCUAUGAAUGUGAGUGAAGAUGGCCAGAAAGUGGACUCCCCUGUCAAAGGUUUUGCAACGAUAGACAAUGUGGCCCUUGUGAAUGUUGAAGGGUGAGCCAUUUCAUGGUAUUUCAUUUCAUUUAUUUGUUUCAUAUAUAUAUGUAUGUACAUAUGUAUGUAAUUUUGUCUUUAUUUUCAUUGUCUUCUUACUUCUGCAGAACUGGAAUGGCUGGUGUUCCUGGCACAGCUAGUGCCAUUUUUGGUGCUGUGAAAGAUGUUGGUGCUAAUGUCAUUAUGAUAUCCCAGGUAUUUCUAUCCUCUAAUUUCCAUAAUGAUGAUUUCCCAGUUCAACAAAGAUGUUUAAUAAUUUGCAGUUAUUUAUUGAAGGCUAGUAGCGAGCAUUCUAUAUGCUUUGCUGUGCCUGAGAAAGAAGUAAAAGCUGUUGCUGAGGUUCUUCAGUCUAGAUUUCAUCAAGCUUUGGAUGCUGGACGCCUUUCCCAGGUGCUGUUUUUUUAUUUAAUUUGUACUGCUGGACCUGAUUAUUGAUAAGUAUCACAGGAUCUGUACUAUAGCCCUUUUUUCAGUCUUUGGCCUUGCCAUAAUGGUACAGAAUGGUAAAGAUUUGUUGUGUUCCCAUACCUAGGAAAAUAUUAGUUCAGUUAGUAGAGGAACCAAAGAAGAAAAGGAAUCAACAUUUUAUUGAUAAGAUUUUGGCUUCAACAUUUGCGCACUUCGAAUUUUGAAGCCUUUCCUUUGUUUCUUACAGCUCCAAGUAUGAGCUGGUUAUGUUUUUGUUCCUGCUUCAUCAUUUUAGUUUAGUGUCUUUUUAGCUUGUUUCUUAUUUAUAUGGCAUUUAUAGCUUUAUUCCCAGCUUUACAUGUACGAUCACAUAUUUAUCGAUUUUUUAGCCUAUAGAUUGGCGCCUUAUUUUUCUGACAUUAAUUUCUCAAAAUAACCUUGUUCUUCUUAGGUUGCCAUCAUUCCAAACUGUAGCAUUUUAGCAGCAGUUGGCCAGAAAAUGGCCAGUACUCCUGGAGUUAGUGCUACUCUGUUCAAUGCCCUAGCUAAGGUCAAAUUUUAGAUCAUUGAUUAAUUAAUUUCAUAUAUUGGUCUGUUCUGAAUCUAAUUCCCCCUUCUUUCCCCUUUUGGCCCUAUAUUUUGAUACAAUUGAAGUUUGAAAUAUUAUAUAUGCAGGCGAAUAUUAAUGUCCGUGCCAUAGCCCAAGGCUGUUCUGAGUAUAAUAUUACUGUGGUAGUCAAGCGUGAAGAUUGUAUAAGGGCUUUAAGAGCUGUACACUCAAGGUUUUAUCUUUCAAAAACCACAAUAGCUAUGGGAAUUAUUGGACCUGGUCUGAUUGGUGGCACACUACUAGAUCAGCUCAGAGAUCAGGUACAUUCUUGGUUAUAUCUUCAUCCAGUAGUUCACCUAAGAGUGUACCGACUAAGUAUAAGGUGUUCCUUAUAUUGUUGGUUAUAUCUUUUAUUAGUUCACUUAGCUGGUACACUAAUUUGGUCACAAUACAUUAAUUAUAAUUAUUUGGGUCAUUGGGAUCCUUAUUGUUAAAAUUUUGUUUUUAGGAGCCUUUUAUAGUUAUUAUUUUAUGCAACUCUUUUGAAGUGUAUUAUCAUAUUGACAAUGAAUAGUAAAAUUAAUUGCUAUAUGAAUAAUGACAAAUUUUCAAAACAAGAUCUAAUGGCGCUUUUCCAAACAGUUUUGAACCUUAAUCCAAAAGAGAUCCGAUCUCUGGGGAUUCUGUGGUUGGAUAAUUAGCUGGAAUAAUUUAUCCUCAUGAAUUGCCAUUUGUUGGUCUCUCUCAAUCCAAAACAGACAAGUCUCUAAGGAUCUUAUGGUUGGAUAAUUUUUUGAGAUUCUUGAUCCUCAUGAAUUACAAUUCAUUUGUCUCAUACUGUUUCUAAGGAUGGGAGUCCCUAGGUCCCACGUAACAUUUCUGUUGUAAAUGGCUGUGAAGCCUGACCUGCAUAGAGGAAAAUGAAGUAGCUUCCGGGAGAUGCAUUAGAGACUAAAGGCUAUGAUAAUUUCAGUUGUUAUUGCAAUUUGACAUUGGCAGCCAAGUUACCAAAAGGCUGAAAUGUGGUCUGCUAAUAAUUCUCUUCAAAAUGACAAAAUUGGUCCAGUUAUAAGUUGUAAGCUUACUUGUUAAUGCUCCAAUUCAGUUUAACAAAAUUUUGAUUUCUUUUGCAGGCAGCGGUCCUUAAGGAAGAAUUUAACAUUGACUUGCGUGUCAUGGGGAUCAUUGGCUCAAGGAGAAUGAUUUUGAGUGAAGUGUAAGGCAUAAGCUUCAUGAUUCCUAAGUUGCUGCUGCUACCUGUAUAAUACUGUCUACAGAAUUAUUUCAAUAUAACAUGAAUGCUUUGUUUUCUGUUGAGAGUAAACAUAAACAUAACCACCAUUUGUACAUCCUACUGCAAAAACCAUUUGCUUAAUCAAUUAAGUGAAGGAUUACUGAAAUUUAAACAACCCUUUGUUUUUGCAUACAUCACAUCUGUUUGUCGUGACCAGACUAACAUUGUAUUUGUUCUGUUAAUCACAAAAAUACUAGAGUUACUUGCAUGUGAGCAAUAUUCUUAAGUGCCUUUGUCUUGUAGUGGAAUUGACUUGUCAAGAUGGAGAGAACUUACAAAGGAGAAUGGUGAAAUAGCUGAGCUGGAGAAAUUCACUCACCAUGUGCAUGGGAACCAUUUUAUUCCAAAUACUGUUUUGGUAGAUUGCACAGCAGACUCUAAUGUUGCAAGUUGUUAUUAUGAUUGGUUGCGUAAAGGAAUUCAUGUGAUAACCCCAAACAAGAAGGCUAAUUCAGGGCCACUUGGUCAGGUAACAUGCUAAUUUUAUUAACACUUAAAAGAGAUAUGGUUUGAUCUUGCUCUAACUGUCUCAAUUUAGUAUACCUAUGUUGCAUGCUUGAAUUAAUUUUUUAUCCUGUUUUCUCCAGUUCUUUUUAUUUGGUUGCAACCUCCUGUUUCAUUCUAGUGAAAUUAUCCUAGCUUAAUGCUAUAAAUGACUAGAGAUUGGAAUAGGUUAAUUUUUCUGUUACCUCCUGAUGUUUUCCUUUAAAUAAUUUAGACGUGGUUUGAAAUGUUUGGAGUUAUCUGUUCAGUAGUCAGUCAGAAGCAAGGUCUUUCCACAUUAAUCAAAUCCAGCUUUAUUUUACUUCCCACCUAUUAACUAGGUUUAGCAAAUGCAUUCUCCAUCGGUACAAAAAAAAGGAGAUAACAACAUGACAUCAAAAAAUGAGGCAAAAGAGAAAAUAUAAUGAAAAUAACAACAGUCCUGUUGGAAGUAAGAUAUGCUGUAGUGUCUCAUAACUUCUUAAAUGAAGUUGCUCCUCCUUAUGCCAUAAGAAUCCUCAAUUAAGUUAUCCAAUAAUUCUGGGUAGGAACAGUUUGCAUUCAUUAUUGAUAGCAAAUUCACCAAUAUGAACUCCUCCUAAAAUAUGCAAGUACAUAUAGAGAACCUUGUCAUUAAAUUGAUUGAUACUUGGAGUUCUGUCCCUCCUCUACUUACUGUCUUGCCUUAUAUUUUUUAACUGCUGCUCCUCUACAAAUAUUUUCAUUUUCAUAAAACUAUAACAAUCCACAUAAAACACACAUUUUAUUUUCAUAAAACUAGUUGCCUACACAUUUCAUUCUUCCUGCUGUGGUUUUUGUCAUUACUGCUCUUUGUAUGUUAUCACUUCAUUUGAAUACCUCAACUUCUGACAUUAACACACCCAUUUUGCAUUUUCUCAGGAUUCUCCUCUUUUGUGCUCUUCUUCUAUUUCACAUCUAUUCACUAGUUAACUGGAAAGACAAGCAACCAUAUUCCAAAUAAAGCACAUGGUGGACAUUCCUAACAACUUAGAUUUUAGAGUCCAAUUUGAACUCAUCCCUGAAGGUUUUGACAGGUGUAAUUUACUCCAAAAUUUAACGAACGAGGAUUAGACAAAAGGAAAGAAUUGUUGCAUUGACUGAUACUGGUUGAACAAUACUAAAGAGACUGCAGUGCUGCUAAAAUAAUCAGGCAAAAUAUGUAGUAUUUAUUCCUGCGAAUACUGAGUGCCUGUGCUAAUAUGGAAGGAGCAACUGAAAAUAUAGGGACUUUGUCCUACUUAGUAUUGGAAAGCUGGAGAUAUGCCCCAUCUUUAACAGUUAAAACAGAAAGGAGAGUUUGUUGAUGGUUCUUUUUAGAGGCCAAAUGACCAAAACAAUUCUAAACGUUUUGCACAUUUUAUUUAUUUAUUUAUUUAUUUAUUGUAUUCAUUUAAUUUAUUAAUUGUACUUGCAACCUUUGCCAUUUGCAACAAUUAUAGGCCAUUGACUGGAAUUGGCAAACCAAAGACAAGUUUAUUGCUUGAUCAAAUAAAAAAGAAUUAAUUUCUUUUUUAUUUUAAAUUGCUUUUGUUUUCCGUUUUUAUUCCCUCUCUUUCCUGCACACUCUUUCCUCUUCCUACCCUCCACCAUUGUUAUGGUACGUACAAGCCAGUGACUUUGCUUUAGAUAUGAUUGGACUUAUACAAACAUAUUGAAUAUCUCCCGACAACCUUUCUCUUGAUGGAAAACCUAACUGCCAAAUGCCAAUGCCACUACCAACAUUACUUGAAUUCAUAGGAAACUCAAUGAAAUUAUUUUCCACUUCACUUCUAAUAAUAUCAUAGAUAUAUGUCAAUGGGAUCCUAUAAUGAUGACUGUAUGAGUUGGUUGAUUUAUUUGGUUUCUAAUUUAUUCACAGGAAUAGUUAAAGGAGAAAAGAUGAUAUUAAGAACUUCAUUUUUAAUAUUUGAUUACGCUGUGGAUUUAUUGUUUUUUUUUUUUUUUUUUUUUCUGCUAAAUGCAUUAUGUUGAGGUUUCAAUGAUCUUUCUUUUUUUCUUUUCCUCUUUUUGGAUUAAAUCCAGUAUUUAAAACUGAGAGCUCUUCAGCGCCAGUCUUAUACACAUUACUUUUAUGAAGCAACUGUUGGAGCUGGUCUUCCAAUUAUUAGCACUCUACGAGGUCUCCUUGAAACUGGAGACAAAAUAUUGCAAAUUGAAGGAAUUUUCAGGUAAUUAUUGUCUUCUUUCCUUAGCUGCCAGAAAAUCUAGCUUAAAGAUUUAAAAUCUUUUAUUUAUUUAUUUUAUGUUUCUCAACUGUUGCAUAUUAAAUAUCAUUGUUGAAUCCCAUAUCGGUUGUGGAAAGGGGUAAUGUGUCCCUUAUAUGAGCCAUAGGCAAUCCUCCCCUUUAAGCUAGCUUUUGGGGUGAGUUAGGCCUGACUCAAAUUUAACAUGGUAUCAGAGCCUCCCCAUCCGAUGUUGGGCGCCCCAUAAAUGUGCCACGCACCAGUAAAAAAUUCUGGGCGUAGGGGUGUGUUGAAUCCCACAUCGGUUGUGGAAAGGGGUAAUGUGCCCCUUAUAUGAGCCAUAGGCAAUCCUCCUCUUUGAGCUAGCUUUUGGGGUGAGUUAGGUCUGACUCAAAUUUAACAAUUAUCACUACUGAAUAUAUUAAUGCUAACAUUUUUAUCAUGAUUUGUCAUCACAGUGGAACUUUGAGUUACAUUUUCAACAAUUUCAUAGGCUCACGAUCAUUUAGUGAGGUAGUGGCAGAAGCAAAGCAGGCAGGUUAUACUGAGCCUGAUCCAAGGGAUGAUCUGUCUGGAACAGAUGUUGCCAGAAAGGUAAUAUCUAUCUAAGCUCUUUUUGUCUAAUUGUUUAAUUGUUUGAUAAGUUUGUGCCUACAUGUUACUGGCUAGCAUCCAUUCAAGUGGUUUUCCAUAUCAAUCUGAUUAUGUUAUUCAUAAUGUAUAAGAAGUUACAUUUCCUCAUGUAUGAGUGAUUUAGUCAGGCUUUGUUCGAGACUUGUCAGUCAAAUUUUGUUAAAGGUCAGUGUAUGUGCAACAUUGUUCCUUUCCACUUUGUUUUGAUUUGGUUUGAUGGGUUAGGAUCUAUUAGUGACUGAUUUAAUUAGCUGUCAAGGUCAACAAUCAAUCAGUACAAAUCCAUGCUGUGCUAUGUGAUAGAAAUAAGCAGAUCACUUGAUACAACCUCAUUGUUUCUGCACUGUGUUUAUUCCAUUUUCUCUUCCUAAAAGCAAUUGCAUAUGCAGGUGAUAAUUCUUGCAAGAGAAUGUGGUCUGAAAUUAGAACUUUCCGAUAUCCCUGUUCAAAGUCUGGUUCCUGCACCAUUGAAAGUAAGUUUACUAUUACUAUUUUUUAAAAUAAUCUCUCAAUCACUCUAGUUUGGAGACAGAUUUUCUCUGACAAGAUGGUUUUGAUCUGAAUAUUUAUUAUUAUAGUAAUAAUAAUAAUUAUAAUUAUAUUAUAGUUAUUAUUAUUAUCUGAAACAUUCUACAUCUCACAUGCACUGGACUUGAGAUGCAAGUUUUUCUUUCUUAUGAUGGUUUUUAUUAUCCUUCAGGCCAGUGCAUCUGCCAAGGAGUUCAUGAAGCAGUUACCGCAAUUUGACCAAGACAUGGCUAAGGAAAGACAAAAUGCCGAGGAUUCUGGUGAUGUAAGUAUAUGUUUCUGCUAGUUUCUGAAUUAGUCUCAGGAUUCUGACUGGCAACUUAACCAGCAAUUUAUGCACAAUAAAGCAUUCAAAGAAUGCUCAGGAUUCCGAUUAAACCAUUUAGAAAGAAGUAUCAGUUAGCUCAUAAAUGCACAUCCAAAUGUCUAUGGAAUUGUUUGCAUUAGUACAUGAAAGGAAUUCAUGGACAAUCGAGACAAUGGGAAGGUGAAAGCCUUUUUCUGUGGGUGAAUUCUCUGGGCCAGUUUAGGGUUAUUGAAGGACCAUUUCUAUCAUAUAUAUGAUGAUUGUUUCUUUUCUCUACUUAGCUGGAAAUGCGAUAAAAUACUUAACCAGAUGAUAGCAAUUAUGCCAUGCACCCUAAAUCAACUUUAACUAAAACGAGUAAAAUUUCAAUCGUUGCAUUUUCCCCCUUUUUUUUUUCUCCUGAAUUCAUUUUGUUACUUCAUCUAAUCUGAAGGUCUUGAGAUAUGUUGGGGUGGUGGAUGCGGUGAGGCAAGAAGGACGUGUUGAGUUGCGAAGGUAUAAGAAAGACCAUCCAUUUGCACAGCUAUCAGGUUCUGAUAACAUCAUAGCUUUCACUACUACAAGGUACAAGGAACAACCACUAAUAGUCCGUGGCCCUGGUGCUGGGGCUCAAGUGACAGCCGGAGGAAUAUUUAGCGACAUACUUCGAUUAGCCUCAUAUCUAGGUGCUCCAUCAUAAUAACUUCAUUAUUUAUAGCUGCAUUUCCAUUAGGUUUUUCCUUCCAUUUGUCAAUGGCUGAGGUAGUGCUUCAGCUUUAGUUAUGUAUCCUAAUGUAUGGAUUGCAAAUGGAGGUUAUUUUAUAAAACAUUAAAUUGCUUUUGGGACUACCGUAGUUUAUUCUAUAUUUCAAAAAUGCUUCACCCCAAUUCAGUUAGUGACAAUUACAUUGCGUUUAUAAUUUUUGUAGCAAAUAAGCUAUCAUUUUUUUCUAUAAUUGGUUUGGACUGAGAUUCAAUCUUAGACCAGUUUUGGUGAUAACUCUAGUAUCAAUGAUAUACAAUUCAUUCAUGUAUUAUCAUUAAUCUACAUGUAUAUUGAUGAUUGGCCGCAAUACUUUGACAUAUAUGUAUUAAACGUACCCACGCCUGAUAAUACUACGACCGACUUAUAUUUAUGCUUUAAAGAUGUAUAAUGUCUCAAAAUUAACAUGAAUACGCCAAGGAAGGGAUAUAGCCUUCAAGUAAAAAGAAAGAGAGCUAUACGUGUGAAUAAAAAGACCUUAAUUUAAAAUUUGUAUAACAAGUUAAUAAUUGAUGAAAGAAAAACUUUUGUUUUUAAUUAUUUUCAAAUAAACACUUGGUUUCCAUUAAUAUAUUGAUUGACCAAAUUAAAAUAAAAAUAAUGUUCUAUUAUGAAUUAAAGUAAAAUAAAUAUUAAUGAUUUAUUAUUUUAGUUAAAUAUAUUAUUAGCGAAGUGGAAUAUAUUCACCCUAUUGGACAUGGAACUUUAGUCUCUACUAAUUAACGAAAUGAAAUUUAUUUUUCUUUUUUGGCAAAUAAAUUCUUGUAAGAUUAUUUAAAAUUUUAAUUUUUUUAAAAAUAAAUUUUUAAAAUUAAAAUAAAUUGAAUUUUUUCAUUAUAAGAAAAAAAAAUUGUUAGAAAAAAAUAAUUAAAUUGAAUUUUUUUAAAAAAUGAUUGAUUCCAAAGGAAGGAUGGUUGACAUAUGUAUCCAUAUAUAUGAUCUUUAUUUUAUUUUUUCCUGAGCUAUGGUCCUUAGUCAUCAAAAGGCUCAAUUCCUGUUAAGUUAUCACUGGUCUCACAGCUAUGAUUAAUGAACUAAUUAAUCAGAAAGGUAUACAAAUUAACACACAUGCAAAAGGGGAAAAAUAAACUCCCAUAUAAUUAGAAAAAUUAAGAAGAUGGAGAAAGAGAAACUUGAAUGAGUAAGUAAGAAAUAGAGAAAUCUCUUCACAUAUAUAAAAAUCCAUUCAAAUUGCCCUUCAGUCAUAGGGAAACCAGCAAUUUCAAUUGCUAGUGAGCUUUGAGAGAACAUACUGAUAAAGUUUUCGCCUCUACCACAGGCCGGAGCUAAGUUACGAAACCUACCAUGAAUAAUUCUUGUUUAAAAUGAGUACGCAAAAAUUUAUAAUAUCAUUUACCGUACGAGUUUAUAUAGAUUCGGUUAAAUAAAUUACUCUAAAACCAUAAUACCUUGAUCUAAAUUAUAAGCAGACUUACUGUAAUAUUCUCUACAUUCUCUAUAAUAUAUUACUUUCCCAUUUUCCCUAAUACAAGAGAAAUCUUACAUUUCCAUGCAUUCAUGAAACUUUGAAUACUAUAUAUAUAUAUAUAAGAGAGAAAGGGGAAGGAAGAUAAUAUUGAAAAAGUCAUCUGACGUCAGUGUUUUAUUCCCGGAAGAGAGUCGGCCAAACAAACUUUCCGGCCAACACUCACAAUCCAUGGGCCUUAUUAUAUAAUAUAUGUAUAUGGGUUGUACGUAACUGGAGCCAACCGUUAUGAUUAUUCCACAGACCAUUAUAGUCAACAAUAUCCUAACAGCUUUUUUUUUUUUUUUUUUUUUCUCACACAUGACACCCUCCUUAAAUCAUUUACACAAUUUCAACAAUGAUUAACGCUUAAUAAUUACCCUCUAAUCACUGAGUACCUCAUGAUUGAAGCACAUAGCUCCAGGCUCACCACCAUUACUGAGAAGAGCGUUUCCAGGGCCUGCUGCUGCUGCUGCUGGAGACUCCAGGGGUGACGAUGUGGUCGAAGCAAGAGGUCUCCAUCCUCCAAUGCUUGGUGGGUUUUGAUUAGAUUGGAGUAAACGAAUCUGUCUCUUCAAGAACUUGACAUAAAGAAUAGCUUCGUCUAACAUGGAGGCAGUGUCCAUUUUUGUUCCUCCAGGAACAAGCCUUUGCAGAAUUCUGAUCUUUUCGCUUAUUCUCUCUCUUCUAUGACGUGCUGCUACGCUCUGGGGGUCGUCGCUUAUCCUUACAUUUCGUCUUUUAGGCUUGCGAAUUGUUGCUGGAUCUAUGUCCACAGGCUGCAUAGCUGCGAUUUUGUACAUCAUUUCUUUCAUGGCUCCUAGCUCUUCCUCUGGUUCUUCCUCCUCCUCCAUGUGAUCAUUUCCUAUGCUUAUGUGGUCACCAAGAAGGGCUGAGAUGGGGAUUGAAGUAGAAGAAGAAGAAGAAGAAAGUAUUUGGUGUGUUUGGAGGGAGAAACCUGCAGGAAAAAAUGAAGUGAAAGGAAUUUGGUCUUGGAAGAUUUGGGUUUCCAUGGACAUUUCAAGGCUUGAAGUUUGGUUUAUGAACUUAGAAGCGUUGAUAUCCAUGAUAAAAAGAUUAGGUUUUCUUGGGUGAUUUCCUUACAAAAGAAGAAGAAAAAAGAAAAGAACUAAAGAUCUUGAAGAGGUUUCUGACUCUAGAAAUAAAUACUCAUCACUAUGAAAGCAUUUAACAUUAAGGGUUUGUCUAUAAUGAUAAAAGAAAAACCUCCUAAGGGAUUUCUGAAGGCUGAAACUUUGAGAAGCUGCAAGGCAAAUGCCAAGUAUAAGAGAGAGAGAGAUAUGAUGCAAAAAUUUGGUAUUGAAAAAGAAAUGAGAAAUUAAUUAAUAAAUGGAAAAUAGAUAGGUAGGGCUAGAGGGUGGCUGAACUUAUAGCUACAAAUCAAAUGAUCAAGGGUUGAGAUUCUCUUCUUUUCUGGAAAGAACCCUAUAGCUAUAGAGAGCCAAGAAUUGCACCUAAGGAAUUGUAGCUAGCAAACUUGACACAUAGUUAUUAUUUUUUUUUCUUCCCAUAUUGCUUUUUAAUAUGGGUUUAGCAGGCCAACUCCAGCACUGAAAUCCUAGCCUUCUGAGCAAAGGUUUAGUUUUUUUGAAAUGAUAUCUUCUCUUUGUUUCAGCCAAUAUGGGAAGUGAAUUGAAGGAAUUGGUUUGGUUUUUCAAAAGUAACUUCUUGAUCAUUAAUAUUUGUGUCAUUUUUUUUAUCAAAUGAAUUCAUUGCAUAUGGCAACAUACACCUCUCUCUAUAUGCACUAUUAAUUCUUGAGACUUAUUUCUCUUAUUUUCUUUUACUUUUUCAAAGCUUGAUAAAACCCUUUUCCUGAUCAGCCUUUUACAGAAGAUCAAUCAAUAAUUUUUGUAGUAUUUUUUUAAAGUCAAAGUAUGUAUUAAGGUUCACAAAUCAUUCACAUUUGAGACUGUUUAUAUUUGAUGGAACAGAAAAUCUGAAACAAUUUAAAGUUUCACAUAGAUAGAAAUGUACUUGAAGAUUGUUAAUUUCUUCUUACAUGUAAAAUUAAUUUUAUUAUAAGUGAAAUUAUAUACGUAAGCUGUUGAUGUUUGAAGGCCAAAUUACCAUAACAAUAAUAUUAGGGUUCUAAAGAUGUGUAUAUCAUUUUUGUAACAGAUAUUAAUCAAAGUUGAUGAGAUUCUGAAACAAUGGUGUAGAAAGAAAAAAUUGGAGAAAAUGAAGAAGAAGAAGAAGAAGAAGAAGAAGAAGAAGAAGAAAAGUAAUAUAUAGAGGAAGGAGUAGCGUAUACAUGAACUAACCAUCUUUGAAAAAGGAGAAGCAGCUGAGUUCACAUUAUGGAAAGCAAUGAGACUUUCCAAUUUGAAACGCAUUAAAUUAAAUAAAUGCAGAGCUCAGCAUGUGAUUCGUUGCAUUUAUUCACCACAAAUAUACACGUAUACCAGCUGCAUAUUCAGACUCAUUAAUUAAAUCAAAUGGAUUAUUUUGAAAACCCUUAACUUUCUGUGGCUAAAUCCUCCUCCUGGUUCAUGGGUUAUCAUUAGACAGAGAGAAUUUGUUAGUGUAUGCAUACACAGCUGUUAGCUAGCUAGUUCCCAGUUAAAAGUUGAUAGCAUCAUGAAUAGAAGCUCGACCAGCUUCUUUAAUUCUUAAUGAUUAAAAUUGGCUUGAAAACUCCUAAAUCCUCAGCAGUUUUUCUUUGGCUAUAUCUGUCUGGAACAUGAGGUACUAUCAAUCAUGAAAUACUUGCACCAAUUAGCCGAAGAAACGGAGACCCACAUGAGACUUUGAAUCACGUUCCUCCAUUCCAGAUCAGACGGUGGUGCAACUAUCUCUUAGGUCAUAUACUUUUUAUUUUCAACAAGUGCAACACACACCUGGUUACUUCCUUAUGUAUCUUUCCUAUAAUAAGAGAUAUUCUAUACUUGCGCAUGCACUUUGCAAUCAUUCUAGGGUUUCGUUUGAGCUCUUCUCUCCCAAAACCCAUCAUUUAACUACAGAAGCCAUAUGCAUUUUCACAUAAAAUAUAAAAGAUAUAUCGAACUAAUUAAUACAGCUAAAGUUUAAAAUUAUUAUGCUUUGAAGAAAAAACUUUAGAAAAUAUUAUAUGGAAAUUGGGUAGCUUGGAUUUGAAGCUAGCUAUAUGCAUGAUUCAAAUGAUACAUAUAGUCUGCAAAAACUCGAUUACUGGUGAUGCAUGUUGACAUGGUUGAGGAAUUCAAGCACAGUGCAUAAAGCUAUACGUCCACUUUGUGAUUAUCAUUUAAUCUCAUAAAAUUUAUGAAUGACCCAUUGGCUAUUCCUUUACUAGUUUUAAGAUUUUGUGGUUGGAAAAUGUCAGGUAAACGCAUUAAUUAUAUGCCAUAAUGAUACCAUACAUGUUCAUUUGCAUGUACAUGAGAUGUUUUAAUUAAUGUAUGAUGCAGUUGGGAUAAUUCAUAGAUUAGGACAAUCCAUUAUGCCAUCUUUAUAAAUAAAGAGACAUGGAAAAGGCAAACUAAUUUAUUCACAAAUUCCACUUAUCAAUCACUGUCCUAAUUUAAUGUAACCCACCAUGAGGGGAAAAUUAAAAUUUCGUCAUUCGUAUUUCCUUUAUAGAUUUUUAGUAUACCAAACAAAGACUUAUUGAUUUCAAAUUUAAUAAUCUCUCAUUACCAUCCAACUCUUUGGAUAAUUCUGCUUCUCCAAACAUUAAGUAGCAUGAAGUAAAAGUAAUUAUGAGUAGCAAAUCCAAUGAGGAUCCCAUGCUAAUCAUCAUUACUGAGUCAAUUCUGGGGGGUGAAGAAGCAAAAGCAAGCUAGUUAAGCCUGCAAAAUGGUGAGUAUUGAUUACUCACUUUAUAUAUCAAUGGUUGGUAUUUAAGGAAGAACAUGUUUCAAGAUAAGGGUUAUAUUAUUGGAUUAAAAUCUUUGAAACCACUCAAACCUAAUUAAAAAGAAAGGAAAAUAAAGUAAAAAGAGGGUCAUGGUCAUGAAAUUGAAUGCUAUCCAUGGCUGGUGGCUCCUCCUCAAAGUCUGCACUAUACUGACUUAUCUUAGGUUGAUAGGGAGAAAUUUCAAGUUUCCCAAAAUGGAGAUAAUAAAGAUAAAAGUAAGCUUCCUUCCUGUUGGAUCCUUAAAGGACCCUUUUGAAAACCCCACCUUGUUCUUUUAGAUAUUAUCAUAUUCUAUUAUAUAUUAUUUUAAGUAAUAUAUUCAUAUAACUUUUUAUUUUUUUUUUCCUUUUUAAUGAUUAUGAAUAUAACUUUAAUGUUUGAUAUAUUUCUAAUUAUUUAUAAUAUCUCUAUAAUUUUAUUAAAAAUUAUAUUAAAGAAUUGUGUUAUGAAUCUUAGAUUUAUUUAUUAUCAAAAAAAUAAUCUUAUUAAAAAAAAAAACACCAUCACCAAUGGGCUGUACCCGUGAAUAGUUUUGAAAGUUGAACAAUCUUGAGCGCAAACCCAUUCAGAAAAAUCAUACCAGAAGAAUAAAAAUAAAAUACUAUACACACCUUUGUUAUUAUUAAUUAUUAAAUUAGAGAUACAGUUUAUAAAUAAAUUUAUCAUUUUUACAAACCUUAUAAAUAAAAAGCCAAAAAAAUUCUUAAAUUGCCCAAAAAUUUUAGGUUCUGAGUUCCACACUUGGAGUUUGUACAUAACGUAAAAUUGUAUUAACUCGGAGCUAAGUCUUGGCAGGAUGGUUGAUUGAGAUAAUGACUACAGAAGUCUUUGGGUGUUGGGAGCCCAAGAACUGGGUCAGGGUGCUUGUGUGAUUGGAUCUUUGCUUUCAUAUUUCAUAGCCAUUGGAGGUGGUUACAUUUAUGUGCUCCCAAGUUUCACUCAAGCCUUUCAAGGUUCUAGCUGGGAUAUCUAAUUAUUGGCUCAAAUUCUGAUUAAUCUAAAUUUUGCAAUUUCAGCUUUUAUAUCCCAAAAUACUUGUGCUAGAUUCAUACUACUCUAGUUUUACUUUAAUAGACUGUCUCUCUCCCUUUCUAAAUUAGUAUAUCUAAUAUAGUGUGGAAAAGGAAUUUUUCUGAACUAUUAAUUCUACAUCAUGGAAAGGGAUCUGUUUGUGUUUAGAGCAUCAUCAGUAAUUUUUAGAGUAUCAUCAAAAGUUAGUUUUAAGUAUGAAAAAUAAGCUAACAUUAGGGGUAAUUUCUUACUCUCCAAGUGGUUCAAUAAAGGGAAUUUGUUCUCAAUUUCCAGUCUUACCAUACACUGUAAUUAAGCCAACUUAACUCCAUGAAACAGUCUACAUUAAACAAUCGAAGGACUAGGUCUUUUCACAUGGACAGAAGGUGAAGGUCACAUUGGUAAUAUGAAUUUCUAUCUUGUUAAUAAACUGAUACAAAGGACAGAGCCAACUCAUUUACUCCCUGCAAGUUUAAGAAACCAUAGUUGAUCGAAUCAGACAAUGGAAGCCAGAAAUCAAUAUUCAUUUCCAUCAUAAACCCAAAUAUCAAUCUGUUCAAUCGUCAGAAAUUUUAGAUGAUAAGAGCAAUAGGGUUUGAGUGAAUUUUGUAGAAAACAUUCCAAUCGGAUGGAGGUGCACAUGUAAUCUCCACAUCAUUUUCCAAAGCUCCUUGCAUAAACUUGAUGUGGUCCAACACUUAGGUCCAUGUACAAUCUAAAUUACCAGGAAGACAAAAAAAACUUGUGAAUAAUUGGUAUGGCCAUGGCAAUCAACACCAUCGACAUCCUUGUCUUGAAUUAUUGAAAAAAAAAGCAGGAAGAAGUGUUUUUUAAUUCAAUCAAUGACAGCUCUUCAAAAUCUUAGCAUGAGAGUCAAGUUACUAAAAGCUUAGAAGCACGCAAAUUGGUGCAAUCCAUUGUACAAUUUUACAACAUACUCAGGAGUCAACACUACAAAUAGGCAGAAGCACCAAGCCAUAUUCUCCACAUCUCAAACACCAGCAUAACAGAAGCUGGCAACUUCCAUAUCUUUCUGGGACUGAAAUGGCUCCUAUUGAUAACUACGACUACCACUUCCCGUAUUUUCCUCUACCACCACCACACAAUCCCCCAUCUCCCCCAAAAGUGACGCCUCCUCAUCCUUCUCCAUCCCCUCCAAAUGUGCCCUCAUCCCACAAGCCCCCACCAUCUCCAAAAGUGUCGCCACCUCACAAUGUGCCCUCCUCUCCAAAAGUAUCUCCACCGCAUAAUCCCAUUGCGCCACCACCAUCGUUUCCAAAGCCAGGAACUCCACCCUAUCAUCCAUUCCAUCCACCACCAAGCCCUUCAGCAAAACCACCCAGCCACCCAAUCUCUCCCCCACCAUCUCUGACAGUGGCACCACCACAUAACACACCCACCCCUCAAGUAGCUCCACCACAUCACCCCAUCACUCCUCCACCACCAUUACCAAUUCCUGGAACACCUCCCAAUCAUCCACCUCUUCCACCAACUCCUGCAGCAAAACCACCCAGUCACCCAAUCUAUCCCCCACCACCACGGCAUCCUAUUCCUCCACCAUCACCUCCUCAUUUUGUUCCACCUCCACCUCCACCUCCAACACCAGCACCAGGACAUCAUUCAACUGUCAUAGUUAUUGUCUUUGUCUCACUUGGUGGUCUCUUCUUUCUUGCCUUUCUAUCCGUUGCCCUCUGCUGCUUCAUUAAGAAGAGAAAGAAGAGAAUAGUUCGGAAAACUGAAAUUGUAGAUUUUGAAGAGCACAUGAGAGUCCAGGAAGCCAUCGUACCUGGACCACAUGGAGAGCAAACCAAGGUACUCACCAUUGAAGAGGAUGUGCACAUUGUGGAGAAGAUUAAGAAAAACGAAAAAAUAAGUGAAGGUUCACACAUCAAAUCUUCACAUGAGCAUUCCCAGGAAACUGAUCUCCCAGCAUCCUCCUUUCAACCAUCUCAGAAUUAUCUUGAGCACAAAGUCUGAUUGAAGUGAAGAAAAAUGGAAAAAGAGGCAACAUGAUAAUAUUCUUUCAUUCAACAUCCCUACUGAGAUAUUACUUGAAAAAUUGUAUUCUUCAUUCCAAAAAUAUGUAUUGACAGAAUAACAAGUGAAGCUUGAGGAAUAAUAAUAUUCCUUAAUAUUGGAUAUCCAAACAAACCAUUGAAGGAAAUUAAAAUAAGACUAUCAUUAUUAGAGUAGCAGAGAAGAACUGAAAAUGACACCAUCACUAGUAGAGAGAUAUUUUCACAUAAAUUUGGCACUAACAUGGUAGUCAUUGGGAUAAUUGCAUCCCAUCAAUGUCCUGAAUUAAAUAGUAAUACAAAUCCAACAUUAAAUUCAUUAGAAACAAGAAAGUGGACCUUACGAAAUACAUGCUAUACUAUAUAUAUAAAUCAGCAAACGGAAGAUUCUGCUUCAAUAUAGAAGAAGGUUCAACUACAAUGCAACCAUAUCGAUUGUUGUCAGACACAAUGGCCUAAGCAUAGCACCUAGCGUUACAGCUAAGUUAGUAUUAGAUCAUCUCCUAGUUUUAGAAACAGAAUUUAUAUGAUCAAAGUAUGCAAUCAAGAAAUUCAAUAUACCACAGUACUAGUAAGAUAGCAUUCCUGUCAAAUUGCAGUCAAGAAGCAAUUAAAAGCUGAAAGUUGAUGCAGAUUUUGAUAACAGAGAAUCCAAGCUUUCCCUUCCUCUGGAACCAAACUGCCAUACUAUGCAUGAAAAUACAAACAAAUCAUUGCCACAAGAUAAUUCCCCAAUCCAAAGUUCUUUCCGAAGUCCAUAUGAAACAAUAGAUAACCUAAUGAGUUUGUUUGACAUUUUACAACCGAAAAAGAAUGAAAAAUUAAUAUUGUGCAAAGGUUAAAAGUACCACACUGCAAGCAUGUAGAGUUUUUUACAUCCAUGCUAAGCAAUCUGGUUUCACCAGAAAAAUGGGGAAAAAAUCACAAUAAUUUCUGAGGUCAUAAUUUUUUUUUUCUCUUUCUGAUAAAAUAGACAGUACCAUCUGAACAUCCUAGUUAUUAUUGUGGGCAAGCAUAUUUUGCAAAACAGAUUGUACUUACAAUUAAUGUUCCUGUUCGAAAACAUUCAGCAACAUGGGGCCCCUGAUCAUAUCAUCCAAUGCUUCACACAUCAUCUUUGUGGAUGAAUGAGAAUGAUCACCUUGGUAGAAUUUGUGUAUCAUUCCUGCAAUGGUUAUCCAGCUACAACCAGGAGUCUUCACCAAACCUAGUUCUCUCAUAUUGCUUCUGAUUCUAGUUAAACCAUCCCAAAUAUUCUGAGAUUCAUAAAUACAACUUAAGGCUAUGUAAUUGCUAGAGUUUAUUGGUUCCAGUUCAAAGAGAUGGCGAGCUGCUAUUUCCCCAACCUUGACAUUCUUGUGCAUCACACAACCAGCUAGCAAAGCACCCCAAACACUUGCUGUUGCUGCUAACUUCAUAUUCUGUACCAAUCCAAGUGCUUCCUCAAGAUGCCCAUAACGACCCAAAAGGUCCACCAUACAGGCGUAAUGCUCUAUGCAAGGUUCAAAGCCAUAAUCUGACUGUAUGGAGCAGAAAAUUGCCCGACUUUGAUCUAUUAGACCUGAACGACUGCAACUAGCCAAAACUGCAGUUAGGGUGACGGGGUUAGGUUUAAAUCCAAAAUCUUUCAUUUUUUUAAAAAGAUCCAAUGACUUCUCUCCUUUCCCGUGAACUCCAUAACUGGAUAUCAUUGUAGUCCAUGUCACCACAUUCAAAUUACGCAUAUUCUGGAAAACCUUCUCUGAAUCACCCAAGCCCCCACAUUUUGCGUAGGCAUCAAUCAACGAAUUCCCGAUUGCUACGUCUUCAUUAAAUAAGAUACUUUUUACUACCUGACCAUGAAUUUCCUUUGCUUUCAUCAAAUCACCUCCCCCUACACAAGCAUUCAAAAUACUAGGAAUAGUCAUAACAUCAACAUUUACCCCCUGUGCAAUCAUAUCUCUAAACAAGCUCAAUGCCUCUGCACAGCGACCUGCUUUCCCAAACCCCGAAAUCAUCAAAUUCCAAGCACCAGUAUCCUUCCACAGCAUGUCAGAGAAAACUCUCUUUGCAUCAACCAAUGCCCCAUGCUUCACAUAAAAGUCCAUAACGGAGCUACCCACAACAACAUAUCCGUCAAAACCAAGUCUGAUUACCCAAGCAUGAAGCAUCCACCCCAGAUAACAAUCUCCCACCCCUAAGGAUGCCUUAAACAGCGGAGGCAAGGUAUAGUGGUCCGGUCGAAAACCACGUUUUAGAAACUUAUUAAAAACACCAAUAGCAUCAGAAAAAAGAGAGUUUUGAACGUACGAGAAGAUCAUAAUGUUCCAUGAAUGCAUGUUCCGGUCGAACAUUCUAUCGAAUACUUUGCGAGCAUCUUGGAGAAGACCAGAUUUGGAGUAAGCUAACAAGAGAUCAGUCUGGAGAGUGACAUUCGCAAGGUAAUCAUUUACAAGAAUUUGAGCGUGCGUUUGUUUGGCGGGAGAUAUUGCCUGUUGAAGAACACAAUUUCUCAAUUUAUAAGAGAGGUGAUGAAUUGUUUUGUAAGACAUUAAAGAUGAAAGCGUCAGUAUCUGUUCUACAGAGUUUAUAUACUCUCUUUUUUGAAAAAUUACAGAGUACACAGCUUAUUCCAUGCAAAUAAUCUCACGUGGAAUGGGCGCUCAGUUGUCAUUAGCCACUAGUAAAUGAACACUUGCAUGUAUAAAUCCCAAAAAUUUGUGAUUUUUUUUUUCCAUGAAAUUAAUCAAUUCUAUAUUUAAAAACCAAAAAUUAUAACAUGUUUGGUAUUUCGAUUUGAAUGGCUUGAAUUUAAAAUAGUAUCGAAUCGAAUAAAUUAAAAAUUAAAAAUUAAAAAUUUAAUAUUUAUAAAAAUUAAAUUAAAUUAAUUUUAAUUAAAAAUUAAAUUAAGUUAAAUUUGAUUUGAUUUGGUUAAUUUAAAUUUUUUUUAUUUAUUAUUUUUAAUAUUUUAAAAUUUUAAUUAAAAUAUUUUAAUUUUAAUAUAAUUUAAUAUUUUUAUAUUAUUAAAAAUAAUAUAUUAUUAUUAUUAAUUGAUUCGAUUUAAUUUUUUAUUUUUUUAAUUAAAAUUAAAUCAAAUUAAAAUAAUUUAAAAUUUUAAAAUUAAAAAUUAAAUCGAACCAAAAUAAAUAAAAAAUCGAUAUAAAUUUUAAAAUUAAUUCGAUUUGAUUGUUUCGUUCCACACUAAUUGAUACAAAGCGUAAAGUUAUUUUUUCUUCUCAUAUAAUGCUACUCCAUAUUAAUUAAUUGUUGUUUUAUAUAAUCUUUGUCACAUUUGUUUUUCAUUUUUUAUAUUAACUUUUUCUACUUUAGCCUUAUAUAUCUAUUCUCACAAUACAUUAUUUUUUAGUCAAUUACUAAUAUCUAUCUUUAAAUUUUUUGAGAAAAUAUAUUAAUAAUAUUUUGUUUAAUUAUUAGUUUUUUAAUAAAAAGAGAUUAUUCAAUAAUUUCCUUAAUUUUUAUAAAAAUAAUAAAGAAAAGAAUCUCAAGCAAGUGAAUAAUUUUGAUUAUUAUCUUACUUUACAAGAUCUAAAAAAAAAAAUUAGCAAAUUCUUAUAGUUUCAUUUAAAAUUAAAAAUUUCGUAAAAACUUAAUUUAAUUAUUUUUUAUUUAAAAGAAAGAAUUUAAUUUCUUAAUUUAAAAAAUUCAUUUAAAAAUAAUUCUUUAUUUUUUUUAAAUUAAAUAUUGAGUUUCACUAUUCUAUAAAUUUUAAAAUUUCCUGUAUUUAUUUAAAAAAAAAAAAUAUCACUGUGAUACAUCCCUUACUAACAAGUAUUAUUGUAGUUUCAAAGCUAAUUACUUUUCAUUUUGAAAAUUCGAGUUUGAUAAUUAGAGAUGAUAUUAUUGGAGAUAUUAUAAACUUUUGGAGAAUUAACUUUUGUUCAACAAUAAUUUUAAAAAUUAUAUUUAGUGUAUUAAAUCGUUAUUAUUUAACGGUUAAAUAAAUAAAUUAUGAAAAUUUAAUUUUUAAAAAUUUGAUUACUAUUAUUUGAAUAAUUAUAUACUAUUAAAAUAAUUAAUAAUUAUUACAAAGAUUAGUAUUAUCAAUGAAUUAGUAUUUAUGUGGAUAAAUGUUAAAGAUUUUUUUUUUAAAAAAGAAAUUUAUUAUUUAAUUUCAAAAUAUUAUAAUUAUUAAUAAAUCAAUUUUUAUAUUUUUAAAAAUCUAUUAAAAUAUAUCUUUUUCAAUCAAUGGCCGUUAAAAUUAUCUCACGCUUCUCUUCCGCUACUCCUUCUUCUUCGAUUUUGAUUAUCAUUCUUCGAUUUUGAUUAUCAUUCUUCAUCGGUUCUUUUUCUCCUCCUUUUCAUCUUCUUCUUCUAUACCCCUCCUCUUCCUUUUCUUUUUUUUUAAACGUAAAAUUAUUUUAAUAAAUUUAAAUAAAAAUAAAAAUAUUUUAAUAAAUUUAUAAAAAUACACCGUAUCGAUAGAUUAAAUAAAUAAUUUUAUUUUAAAAAAAAUUAAGUUUUAAAAAUUUUCUUCCUCUUAUUCAUCUAUUUUUAAUAAAAAAAAAAAUAAAAAGAAUAUUUUAUUUAAAAAAGAAAUAAUAAAAAAAUAUAGACAGUGAAUUAUUAAUAAUAAUAAUAUUCGAAAGCUAAAUAAUAAAUAAUAAAUCUAAAAAAAAACAUAUCCUCCGCUCAACCUUCUUUACAGGCGUAGCAUCAUAAAGAUAACUUAACAGUCAAUACCUACUAAAAGUAAAAGCAAAAAAGAAAUAUAAUAAUUACCAACCAAUAAUUAGCCAUAAGUAUUAUGCAUUAAAAAGGUAGAUACAAUCAAUCACCAACCAAGAAGAUCAAUGAUCCCCAAAACUACAUCACAAAUAUGCUUCAAACCUUGCUCUCUACGUACAAUCUCCGGCGGAUAAGCAACUGCCGGGUACCUUCUAAAAGCAUUAUGGCAACCAUUUGGAUAAUCGGCGGCAGCCAUGAUAUGCAUAUAAGCAUAGUCAUAAGACUCCAUGGCUAGAUCUUGAACAGAAGCUUGAAGAGCAUCACCUGCAUAGCUAUACUUAUCUGCACACUCUUUUAGUACCUUCUUCAAGACGGUGUCGUUUACAGAGCAAGGGACUUGAGAAGACAAGUAAGAAGAUGUAGCUGUUGCAUUAGCUAUUCCAAUACCAAUCAUGAUUAGUGCUAGACCUUUAGUGUCUGCUUUUGAACUUGUGGCAUUGGAUUUGAGAGAUGAAACACAAAGGUCAUAGUAUUUGGUGUUUUUGCAUGUUUUUUGGAUCAAAUCCAUGUCCCCUCUAGCAAAAAUAUGUGAUGGGUGAAAAAUCUGUUGAGGAAAUGCAAGGGAAAGAAGAAGAAAGAACAAGAAAAUGGUAGAGCACCCCAUCAGAGAGAGAGAGUGAAGUAGAUCCUAGUCUAGUCUCUCACUCUUUCUUUGUGGGCAGAUAAGAGUGAAGUAAAUGGGGUUUUUAAAGAGCCAAACUUAUUGGUACUAGACUUAUCUUUGAAGCAGAAAUCUCAAAUUUGAACAAGAUAUUAAUAAUCCCUAUUUACUUCUGAAUUAAAAAAAGUGAUUUUUUUAAAAAAAAUUAUUAUUUAGUUUUUAAGUUGAAAUUUAUUAAUUAAUUAAUUAAUUUUAAAAAAUAUAUUAAAAUAUUAUUUUUUUAAUUUGAACAUUAUUAAAAUAUUAAAAAAUUUAUUAAUUAAUUUUAACUGUUAUAUAUUUUAUAUCUUAAUUCAUGUAGCAUACGAAAAUUUAUUAGUCAAUCUUUCUGUGAAAAUAUUAUUAACUAAUUCUUUUAUAUUAAAGAUAUUUAAAUUUUUUUAUAAUAUAUAUUUUAAUAUAUUUUUUUAAAAUUAAAAGAUUAAUUAGUAAAUUUUUUUAUAAUAUAAAAAUGAAAUUUUAAUUUUUCUUUUUUCUAAUUAAAAUUACUAAUUCAAUACUGACUAUGAAGAAGAUGGAUUUGAUCCAAUUCUAAACAUUAUUUAUCUUUAUGAAAUCCAAUGGGUAUUUUGACUUAGUGGUCACUGACUAUUCACUAGACAAUCAUACAUGAUUGUAGGCAUUGAAUGAGUUGUUUUUUUGUAGUUUAUGAAGGGCAAGGCCUUAUUUUAGGCGGUAGGAAUAACAAAAUUUGGCAGCUGCCAUGCUGCCAAAGCUAGUGUCACGGGUUAGAAAACUACACAAAUUUUUAGACACUCAUCUCAUCUCAGAGCUGUGUGGGUUCUCUAAAUGUCUUGUUUGAGCUCUCAACCCUACCAUCCAUUUCUUGACACUUGCAUAGUUUGCAGAGAUCUGAGCCACCCAAUUAUUGUAUCAUGUUACCCUUUCUAGAACCUAUCAUCAAUAAUUUUAUUUCCUUUUUCACAAUAAAACUUUUAAAAUAAAAUGGACCCUUUGCCAAGUUUGAAUAGAGUAAUAAUUAUGAUUAUAUCAAGAGAUGUAUGGACUGAUUAAAAAUAUAUCAAUCUAGUUUGAAAAUAAAAUUAGAUUAAUUUUUCAUAUGUAUAAUGCUGCUGUUUUGAUAAAUAGAAGACACUAGAAGAGUGAGAUUUUUAGAUGGACAAGCUCUUCAGCAUGGCCUUCAAUCCUCUAGCUUUUCAUAGAACAGAAAUGAACUUAUUCCUUGAUGUCAAAUCGUUCAGUAGGGCUUUGGAAAGUGAAAGAAACAACAGUUUCUUUCUUUACUUAGUGAACUACCAGGUUAACAUAAGGGGAAAAGGAUUCAUAAAUACUUAGUGAGAAGCAGAUUCUAAAACACCCUAUCUAUAUAUAUUGAUAGAACUCAAUACCAUUAAAAACUUACUAGCGCUCACUUGGUGUGGUGGCAAUCUGCAUAAUAAUACAUAAUUUUAACAUAUUUUGAUGUAUUGACUAACAUUACCUUCUUUUCCCCUUUUCCUUUUCUUUAACUAACAAAGAAAUGUCCACUGAGAACCACCAAACUAAUCUAAGAACUGGGUUGCUGCUGCUUUGGCUCACUUGGGGAAACCUGGAAGCUCGUGUUUAGUGUUGGUCAUCAUAGUACAUGAAGAAAAUGAUAAUUAUUCUUCAAAUCACAAGCCUCUUUUUGAUCUGCAGAUACACUCAGGAUAUGGAUUUUCAUAAAAAGAUUCUUCAGUUCGGAAACGUGCUCGGCCUUUUACUCCUGGCAAUGGACCUUUUCUUUUCCUUGGAGCUCCUUGCCUGUAAUGUGAUCAAAACUCCAGUCAGCCCUGCCUCUUCUUCAUCUAAAUUUAAUUCAAAUUUCGUUGUUCAUUAAACACACGAUCAGUUCAUACAAGUCAAUGCAACACAAAUUAAAAUGGACAACUUUUCAAUUCUUCAAAUAAAUACUGAAACUUAUAUUAAAGUAAAUGGAGUGAGAAUUUACUAGAAUGCACCAAAAAUUAAGAAUGAAACUUACUGGAUGAAUUAAGGGAACCUGCAACAGAAUUACCUGUUCUUGUGCAUCUCCUGCACGAUAUGUAAAAAUGAAGACCCUUCCUUAAGCUGUCCACUUUCUAGCUUAUCAAAUAGCUUGACUAGUUCUUUUCUGCAAUAGAUUAUAAAAAAUAUAAAAUUAUGGAAGAAAGCCUGUUGACCUCUCCCUCUCAAAGUCAUCAUUUAUGGCAAUAGGAAUAUCGGCUUCAAAGAAUGACACAUGCACUUACAAAAAUACUGCACUAGAAGUGAUGAAACUGUAACACUGAAUAAGAAUAGACUAAUCUCAUAACUUUCAUUGUGACCCAACAGCUCCCAAUGAAACAAGCAGCUCAUUAUAGGCAUCAAAUCAGGAAUAUCGAAGACUGAAUAGCAAAAGAGUUUUUUGCCAGAAGAUCAUUUCAAUGAUAAAACAAGAGCCCAAGUAAGCAAUCAAUCCAUCAAAGUAACUUCCAAGUAGCAAAACUCAAUUGUUACAAAUAUCACAAACUAUCAACCUAGGAAACAGCUAAAAAAAUAAAGUUGCAGCAACAACAAUGCAGUUGCGUUUAGGGCUUUGGGCUUCCUUUUUCUUUUCUUUGAAAAAAAAAAUUCCUACAGAUCUUUAGCCUGAUUGCAGAAAGUCAAAAGGGUGCUAGUACAAUUCCCUAUUUCAUGCAGAUAGUUGCCUAGGCCCAAGGUGGCUCCAUCUCCAACUGAUUAGACAUAUAAGAAGUGGUUUAUACUGGUGGUCUUUUCUUCAGUUUAUUAUGUUAAAUAGUAAAAUUUGCAAGAAUUUGAUAGGACCUGUACCUGUCUGGGGUGAUUGUCUUGCGAUGCCCUAAGAAUCUCCGGUGGCCCUCAACAGCUCUGGCCAUAUUUCCUGAAUAUGAUGGAAUAAAGACAUCACUCUCUAUAGAAAUAAUGUAAUCAAGUGCUGCUGUCUGAGAAGCAUGAUUAGAAAAUGCUUUUAACUCCUCCGGUGUAGCCAAUGUUUCCUGAAAUUAAUCCAACCGAUUCAUAUUAAUUCUAUUGGCAGCUGACUGCAUCAAACUUAUUACCAAAGAAAUUAUACUAGAAUCAUUGGCAACCUUGAAAACAGUAUUUGGGAACCUAGAUGUGAGCUCUACAAGCUGAGAUCUACCACCAUAAAUUUCGCCAGCUGCAAUGUAAAUCAUUGUUGAUGGAGAAUAACCAAGAGCUUGAAGAAAUAUCCCCACCUCCUUUGGAGUUAGGGGACAAAAUCCUCCCUCUCUCUGCUCCGUUGAAUUUAUCUUUUUAACCUUCCAAUGAUUUGUAUUCUCCCUAAAACAAAACAAAAUAAACAAGUUGAUAAAUAAUAGCCGUUGGCAAACAAAAUUACAUCACCUAACUUCCAAAUGCUGUCUUAAGAUGACAGAACAACAAUCAAUACAUGCUAAACCUAAGCUACUGAACCUCUCUGCAGUCUGCAGCAAAGAUAAUGCUAUUAACAAGAAUAUAGGCAUUUCUGGCAGACCAAAUCAAAUAUGUUAAAAUCCAAGAUAUACUUGUUAUGACACCUUCUCCACAGGUGAACCAAGAGAAAAGGGGACCAAGAACAUUAAGGGUAUAUUCUAGAAGAAAGGGGAAAUUGGUAAUUAUGAUGAGGUGGCAGCAAGUUUUGACCCGUUCGUUACUGGGGGAAUAUUUGGUGGGUACCCUAGGGAAUAAAGGACAUAUUACAGAAGAGCCGGGGGAAAAGCAUGCAGGGAAAAAUACGAUAUAAGCAGGAGGUUAAUUUGUUAUGGGUGUGGAAAAAAUUUUAUUGUUAGUAAUCGGCUUUCAGCUGGGCCAAGGUCUUCCUUUCCUUGGAGUUUAUCUCAUUAGUGUGAUAACAGUGAGCUCUUGUAAAGAAUGCUAUAUCUCUUUUACUUUGUUGGAGAUAUUUAAUAUUAUUGCAGCAAUUGGCCUUCCCGUUGUGUCUCUUCUUCCUAAAUCUUCUCUUGCAAAUUCUUAACUCUAUCAAUACUUUUCUAAAUUUCAGACAUUUAGAUACAAAGAAUAACCUAAAAUGGCAUUAAGGAAUAAGAAUGGGCCAAAGAGAGAGAUCACAGUAUUACACAUCAACUCCAAACAUAUUCCUAACAGCAUAGCAGUAGAGGAAAACUGCAAAAUAGUAGGUAUACAGUAGCAAGGUCAUCCUUAUCAUCUGAACAACCAGUCAAGUAUAUAUAUAUAUAUAUAUAUGAACCAUAUGUGUCUGUAAUUACAGUGCAUAUGCACACGUAUGCAUGCAGGCAAGAGGAAUAGAUAGAGAGAGAAAGAGAUACCCAUAUAUGCUCACCUCAUUAGUCGCAGCUCUUCAGAUUCUGCCUGAGUCAGCCCAUAAGUGCAGCCAGUAAAAGAAAGCAUAUCCUUCUCAUAUCUUAAGUGAAGUGCAAUGUAUCCUCCCCCACGUGAUCUCAGCCGCUCCACCAGCUUCUGUUGUGUCAUCGUCAUGCAUUCUCAGAACCUAAUUUAACAGGAAUCCCCAUAGGAGACCUCAAUGCAUUGAUACUGAAAAUGAGUGCAAACCUGGGAUUAUGCAUGUUGUUUUAUACAAUAACACAUGUAGCAUGAGGUUCUAAACAAAUAAACAUUGUAUCUUUCACCAACUUUAACCAAAACUUUAAUCAGAUAAUCUACUAGUCAAUUAUAAACUUAAGGAUUUGCCAAAACUAGUUAUACUUUUGGAUAAUGGCUGCUUGGAAUAGCAAUUAAAAGGAUAUGAAUUCCAGACCUUUCCUAGGCUUUCAAUUGGGGGAGAGAAGCGAAGAGCCUGAUACAGAGCUCGGCAUCUUAACCUCUGGAUAUCAAGUGGCAAAUCAUUGUUUGCAAGACGAGAAUCUGACUUUGCAACAUGAAUUACCUACAGAGAUUAAUUCAUAAGCAGACAUCAACAAAUUAUAACAUAAAAAGGGACCCAGGAACUACCGAACAGCAAUCACCCAAACAGAAAGAAUUAACCCCAAUGCCAAUCAGGUCGAGUCCAUGAAGAUAAAAUGAGGAAGUAUUUAUAAAAAAAGGGGAAAAAAAUAUGCCAAAGUGUUUAUUACAUAUCCUCAGCUUGAAUUCAAUAAGGCUAGAUUGAUUUCAUUGGAAGGUAAUAAAACAAUCAAAAUAAACCACCUACUGUGAAGCAAGACAAAAGUCUGUUGGAGAAGUGGGAAUCCCACAUCAGUAAAAGGAAGGAGAAAGGAAGAGCUAAUAAAAUAAGGUGAGCCUAAUCCAAAUUGCCUAAGUGCAUUUUGAAAAAGGCUAUCACAUCAAGCUCAAUUAAGUCUCGUUAUGGAGCCCAAUACUCUCAACACAUGCAAACUUGGACCAAUCCCAUCAUCAAAUUCCAACAGUGGCAUCAGAGCUCAAAUGCCCUCAUGGCCAUGAAGAUCCAAAGUCCAAGAAAUUUCCUGGCAAGUUGGAUUAGCAAUUACAGGCUAAACACAGAAAAAUACAAGCUUAGGCAAAAAUGAAGAGAGACCUAAGGUCUCUGAGACUCAAAAAAGAAUGCAAGCCUAGGAUGACAAAACAAAAGCAAGUCACAACUGGAUUAGGCCAAUUGGACUUGAGGGGAGUGUUGGAGAAGUGGGAAUCCCACAUCUGUAAAAGAAAGGAGAAAGGAAGAGUUAAUAAAGUGAAGUGAGUUCAAUCCAAAUUGCCUAAAGGCAUCUUGGAGAAGGCUACCACAUCAAGUUCAGUUAAGCCUCGUUAUGGGGCCCAACACUUUUACCACAUGCAGAUUUGGACAAGGCCCAUCAUCAAAUUCCAGCAAAGUCUAGGACCCAUUUAACUGUUGAGAACUGAAGCAGUUUUCCAGAAAUUUUUCCAUAGAAAGAGAAAACUGAUGUUUUAUGUUUAAAUGUAAUCGUUUUCCAGUUUUUGAGAAACAGUUUUUUGGAACCCAGCUUUCUACUUUUCCAUAUCUAUACUGAUGUUAGAAAAUAGAUCAAUCUCUUAUUUUCCUUUAUCAAACUCCAACAGUCUACUAUUACUUUCCCAAUGAUCAACCUGUUUUCCACCAUUAACCAUCACCAAAACAAUUGCCACUCCAUUCAUUGUCUGCCUUGGCUGCACAAUCAUAAAUGCGCAACUCCAUCAUCUCGCCAUGACCCCCCACUACUACAUUUAAAUGAAUCAUACUUGAUACAUAUUCAAAACAACUACAAUAUGUUGUUAAGUAACAAAAAGCAGUUGAAGCAUAGAGAUGAAAAAUAAAGACAUUUUUCAAUUUCCUAUGUGUUAGAAAUAUAUUUUUGCAAGUAACCAACUCCUUCACUAUUGGGUGAACCAACCCUUGGACUUACUAUAACAAACUUCUUAAGCAACUAAUAAGGAUUACUAAACAUCUCUUACCAAAUCAAGCUCUAUGAAAACAUAUAAAAAAAACAUAUUUGAGAAUUGGGUCAAUAUACAGAUCUAGAUUGAGAUGAAAACAUCACCUUUCAAAAGAUUAAGGGGGACAAGGGAAGCUUUUUAUGCCAUAUUGGGUGUCCAAUCUAAAAUCAUAAACUAUAAACCCCCAUACACUUAGGUGCAGUGAAAAUUGAUUACUCAACAUCUCACAAGUUUGUAAACUGAACAAUAUAGCAUCUAAAAUAUCCAAAGUCCAAACCCAUCAUAGUGACAGGCUGACAGCUGAUGGAUUAAUCUAGUUUCAACUUUGUUGUUUCAACAUUAUCUUUCUUCAAUGGUAUUCUAAUUUCUGUGAUACUUAGAAAGGUGAUAUCCUUUUAUGUGGGUUCGUGAUUAUUCAAAAGAGUUGUUCAUCCAGAAUCUAUAUGAAAUAUAUGGGGAGUGCUCUAGAGCAAAGUUGUUUACAAUACCUGAAAUUCCUUCCAUAACUGUGUCAUCUCUUCAUAGUAACCAAUGCCAGACCAGGAGGUAAAGUGUUUCCUUGCCCGAGGAAUAGAUUCCAAUCCUUUGGGAAGCUCCUUGAUAAUUCUUACAUCAUUUUGUAAGCUUGUGAUAAAAUGAAGCUCAUCAAAUAUAUCUGAAAAUGUACUGCACAUGGGAACCAUGACAAGUGACUAACAGCAACUUCAGGAUUAUGAAUGUGUAAAGAGAAAAUUAAAAAGAAACUACAUAUAGGACACAAAUAAUUCAAAAGUGCUAGAUAUGUCGUUGAACUGCUGAAGAACACCUUGUAUCUUGCCAAAAUGAACGUUUAUCUAAUUGGGGAAUGACUAAUGUUGCAUUCAUGAUGUGUGCAACAGCCACCAUGUCUGAAAUCUGCAGCAAAAGCACAUUUAUUGAGUUUGUAUAGACAAUUUUUGCAGCAAAUUGAGAUGCAAAGCAGCAGAAAUGCAGAAGUCCCAUCCACAACAAUCAAUUACAGAUGUACAUAACACUCCCUUCCAGAUCCAGUUAUACAUUCAUCUUUGACAUACUGAUCUAAGACAUCCUAGAUGCAUGGGACAGUUUGUGCACUUCAUGCAUCAUGUACAAAACUUUUAUAGAAUUAACUAUUCAUAAAAAUUCUCUUCUUAAAUCUUAAGGAAUUCAUCCUAAAGAUAACUGCAAUAAGAACAUGGGAACCAGGUAACUGCAUAUUCCAAGAGUUCAUGAAAACCACCAAUUCAAAAUUUCUUAGUCAUUCAAAAUUAUGGCUGAAAUUGUUUUAAUAGUUUCAUAGUUCUUGUCCAUAAAAAAUUGGCCUAUACAUAAUGGAACAGAAGCUAAGGCAGCAAAAAUACACACUGGAUCAAAUUGUUGUCAUGGCCUCAUCCAUAGAAACAAAAGCAUGUCAAUAAAAUCAGCUCUUUAGAGAUGAGAACACUAAAACAUGUGCAAAGUACAAGUUAUUGAACAUACAAGAAAAGAGCACGUUGAUAGAAUGGUACAAGUGGCAACCAUUGCAAAUAAGUUCAGGGGGUUGAUUGUGAUUUUCUUGCCAUGUCCAAAACUCCAAAUGCUGAAAUUCUCAUUUAAGUUUGCUUAAAUAAUAAAAUAAUAACAGGAUAGCAGUUAAAAUAAAAGGUCAUAAUAUAUUACAAUGAAUCAUAGCUUGACAAGAGAAAAGCAUACUAACCAAAAAGAGAAAAAUAAGAGGGAGAGGGAAAACAAUGGCUAUUGAAAGAAAAAAAAAAGUUGAGUGAAGGUUUUAUGUACACUUUUUAUAAUAAGAAAAAUGAAGUGAAAUCUAGAAAAAAAAAUAGACCGAACUUGUCAAUUCACUAUCAAUUCUUUCAAUUUGGUCACAAGACUCACAACUCAAGUGUGUUUGCAAUUCACCCCAUAUAAUGAAUCAAUAGAAUGGAGAAUCAAAUCAAAUUGUAUGAUUCUAACAACAGUGCUCUAUAUAUCCAACCCACAUAGAUUGGGAUUAAGACUUGGUUGAGGUCAGGUGACCCUUAUCUAAAAGAAUAGAUUCCAACAUAGUGAAAGCAUAUACCAUCAAGCAAAUAUGAACAUGCAUUAUUAACUUACACCAGUGCGCAUUUGAUUUAAUCCUCCAUUGCUUUUCACAGUUAUAUAUCGGUCCCAUCCUUGGGCAGCUGAAAUUUAAAACUGGAAUUAGGCAGGGUAAAUAUACAUACAUAUGAAUGCAGGCACAUGUGUUUGUCCACAUAUAUUAAGAGAAAGGGAGGGAAUACAGGAGGAGAGAAGCCGUCCCCUUAAACUAGAUUAUGUUUGAUGAUAACAGAAUUUAAAACUACUAACACUACUACUACACAAAUAUAUGUGUGUCUUUGUGUGUGUGUGUGUAAAUGGAUCCGGAGCUCCUACAAUAUGUAGUAAAUUUAGUUCCAGGUACUUCAAAAGAAUAGUAGAUUACACCAUAUAUUGAGCAAAAGAAUGAAACUACAAAGAUGUAUACUAUUUUAACCUUUAUAUUUGGCAGUGGGGUUGACACAAGUGCGUAAGCCAUAGUUGAGAGGAGUAUCCUGCAGCUUUUCAUUUGACAUCUGCAAAAUUAGAAGCAUAGCAGCCUUAUAUCAUUUUUUGUACAGAACAAUGCAUAAAGCUUAUACAGAACAGAAAAAUGAUAACUUGUAUUGUAUUCCAGAAAAUUAAGGGAAAUAAGAGGCUUUAGGAUUGAGAUAUACAAGAAAUAUCUUCAGUAUCUAAUAUGCAAGUAGAAACCAGAACCCAUAAAUUUUAACUUUGAUAUGAUGUAGGUCAAUCACACGGCAAAUAUCUAUCUAACUUGAAUAACUUUCAAUAAUUCUCCAAAAGGGUGCACCAAUUUUAUAAUUUAUAGCCUCCUCUCUAAUUCAAUUAAAAAGAAAAUAACAGAAUGCGCUUCUAUUUUGACAUUCUAUGGUGUAUUGCUUUUUCAACACAAUUCUCGAACUCAACACCUCCAAUUUCAACAAGUUCAUAACUUCAUCUUCAUGAGUGAAUCUUUUUUUUUUCUUCUUUUUUCAGCUAGCAGCCUAAAAUUGAAAGUAAAGUGACAUUUAAGUAGCAUAAAAAAUUCUCAAGGGAAGAAAAUGCAACUUCCUUUCAGUUGAGCAAGCAAGAAAUGUUUUGGCUGAUAGGCGGGUGCCCAAUAACUUCCUAAAUAAAACUGUAAAUCAUUUUUCCAUAUCAAAGAACAUCUGCACACGUCCCCCUUCCCCAAAGGUCUAAUCAGCACAAUCAGCAAAGCAAAAUCCAAUACACAAACUAGCAGUUUAUGAUCCUAGCAUAAACUGCUACCAAAAGCACUAAAAGCAAUAAUCAACUCUCCCGGUACCAAAAACUGAAGAUCUCUCACUUCAAUUAUUGAACUGAACUCGUCUGAGCCACAGUCGCAGAAACUGAAUAUUCCUUGCCACACAGGGAACUCACGAAUUCACACAAAAUAACAAACACAACAUUGAAAGACACAAACUGGAUCAGAAAGUUGCAAUGAUAAAGCAACAUAUUACAUAUGACCAUAUUUUUUCCCAAAAAACACGUAUAAACAACUCGUACACUCGAGAGACUUGGCAAAUACUCAAAGAACAGAACUUGAAUAUUACUGAAAUCAUUAAAUCGAAGAGAAACAAAUGGCCUACUUACCAAACCCACCCAAAAUUAACAAAUCCCUUGUACAAAAACAUUGUCGACCUUAACUAACACAUCCAAAUUAAAAUUUUAAAUAGAAAACUAAGAAACCUGCACAGAUUGAGGUUGAGAUUGAGAUUGAGACUGAGACUGAGACUGAGACUGAGAUAGAGAUUCUUCAGAGAAGCGAGAUUUCGGUUCAUUGUCCAAUAUGUCUCUUGCGUUAAAAACAAACACGAAGAGCGAAAAGGCAAAAAGAAGGAUCAUGUAAAAAGUAAUGGCUGAAGGAGACGGUCUUCUUGAGAUAAAUCUGACCACUGAUGAGCUUUUCAUACGUGAAUGCGCUCUGCUGUUUACCAUUCCUCGUCUCGUCUUCUUCGUCACACAUUCAACUCCUGUUUCUGGUUAUAUACCGUUGUCCGGUCACCGGAACGGGGCAGUAGUACUUCGCUCGUUUUCAGGUCGGGUCGGGCCUAAUUAAGGCUUGAAGUUUUAUCACUGCCCAUCACAGGCCCAAGCCCACAUUUAUUUAUGAAUAAAAUAAAAUGAUUUUAUACAUAAAUUACUUUAUGAUCUAUAAAUAUAUGAAUAUAGAAAUUUCGUAUGAUUUGUGAUAGAACAAUACAAUCUUUAUAAAAUUUUGUACACUCUUUUCUCAAUGUUUUUGUUAAUUAAAUUAAUUUAUUUUUUUAAAAUAAUAUUAAAAUUUGUUCGUCGAUAUUUUAUUUAAAUAUUUUAAUUUUUCAUAUUCAUCCUAUACCUGAAAUAUAUGUUAAAUUUUACUUAAUUUAAAUUUUGAGUUAAGGGUAUUGUGAUUUACACUUUGAAAUUUUAAUAGUUUUUUAUUUUAUUUAACUUUUAAAUGAUAUUUAUAUGUAAAUUUGAACAAAAAUUACAGUGGAAUAUGAUAUUUUUACAUGGAGGGUGAGUUUGACCGUUUGUCCAAAUGGUAACCUUUGAAAAAUUCAUAGGAAGACUCGUUGAGAUGAUUUUUUUUUUUUUUUUCCGACUAGAUGAAAUCUAAAAAGUGAGUUUAGAUGCUUAAGCCGGCUUUAGUUUUCUGCUAAUUAAUUGGGAUUAUCUAUAAAUUAACAUUUCUUCUUUUGAUCCUCUCAUCAAAUCAUACAGAGAAUGACAAGAUUCAUCAACUUUCUUCUCUUUCUCGUCUUCCAUGCUUCCCUCCUUUCUCAACGCUUCACAGCUGGUAUGUAUUAUUUUGUUUUAUUUUUAUUUAUUAGUUAUUAAAGACAGAAAGUAGUAGUAUCUUAUAAUGUUUUUUUUUAAGCGAAAAUUUUAUUUUCACUUGUUUCCAUAUACCUUAUAUUGCAGAAAUUGAAAGUAAUUUUCAUUUUUAUAUUUUUUUUCAGAGAAUUAAUAAUCCUCAGAAAAUCCAUUAAUUAUUUUGUUUUAUUAUGAAAAAGUAUUCCUUUUCAUAUUUUUUGAAAAUCGUAAAAAUUUCAUUUUUCAUAUUUAUCCAUUGGAUUAUAUAUUUUCAUAAUAAUAAUUUACAACCCAUGUUUGCACUUAUUAUCAAAGGCCUUUUUUAAAAAAAAAAAAAAAACUUAAGUUCCAUUAAAUUAAAUUAUAUAUCAUAAUGCCCACCCUUAACCAUAACGUAGCAAUUUAAUUAAUUAAAAUUUUUGUAGGUCCCAAUUCAUAAUUUUGCAAUUUUAAAGAUGAUUUUUCAUAAUGAGUGAAAUAUUUUAAUGAUAAAUUCAGAUGGGAAGGUGAUGAUGGAGUACAUUGGAGCCACAGGAAUUCGAGUAACAUUUGAUUCAGUUCCAGUUGAAGACAAAAUAGACUUUCAUUUCAUACUUAGUUUUGCAAUUGAUGCAAACUCGUCAGGCAAUGCUCAAAAUGGUAUAUUUUCACCAUAUUGGUCACAUACAUUGACUCCACAAUCUGUUUUAGCCAUGAAGAAGAACCAUUCAAAUGCAAAAGCCUUAGCCAGUCUUUCUGGUUGGAGUUUAAGGGACAAAAUCCUAAGCUGGUACAACCCACAAGACCCGAACAUUUGGAUAUCAAAUGCCUUCACUUCCCUCAAAUCCCUAGCCCAUGAGUUUCAUCUUGAUGGUAUAGAUAUUGACUAUGAGAGAUUUCCAAAGAAUAGUAAUGCUACUUUUGCUUAUUGCAUUGGGGAGCUGAUUUCUCUUUUAAAGAAUCAGAGUGUAAUUUCUGUAGCCACAAUUGCACCAUUUCAUGCCACCGUUUUACCUUAUAUUGAGCUUUUUAAUGGCUAUGGAGAUGUUAUUGAUUAUGUUAAUUACCAAUUCUAUACUGAUAAGGUUAGGACCCCAGAAGCUUAUUUGAGAGCAUUUAAGCUUAGAACCAUGCAAUUCAACAAGGAUAAGUUGUUGCCUAGCUAUGAAGUCAAUGGAAGAGGGAUUCAAGGGGAUGCUUUUUUUGAUGCUUUAGCUUUGUUGGAGAAUAAUGGAUUUGAUGUUAAUGGAGUCAUGAUCUUCUCUGCUGAUGCUUCUUCCUCCAAUGACUACUAUUAUGAGAGGAAAUCUCAAGCUUUCUUGCUCAACUCUACAAAAGUAUAAUGGGGCCUUUUGUUUCAUUACAUAUCUUAUACAAAAGCUACAAUAAAUUUAUGCAACAGUUAUUUUAUCUAAACCAAUAUAUGGAUAACUAUAUCAGUUUCGAAUGCAACAAUUGGUCUUGCAAACACACGAUUAUGCAUGAUUUUUGUUUUUCUUAAAAUAAAAAAUUUUAUAUUAAAAUAAUUGAAUUCUUUCACAAACAAGAUAAUUAAUUAAAAAAAAAAAGAUCGAUUGAAUUAUAUUCUUACAAAUUUGGGGAUAGAAUUAGUAGAUUACGUAGAUGCAGAACACAUGAAUCAACAAAAUCACAUCUCAUCACAGGAAUUGCCAAGUAAAAUUUCCCACUGUACCAGGAGACAUUGCCAAGCCUUCGCAUCAAGUUGCUUUAACAUAUUUACACCAAUGGUCCUACAGUUGACAAAUCAAGACAUAUUUCUAACACUGACCCACAAAACCUACCAUAUCCAAUGCAACCUAGCUUACAAACUCAAGUCCAUCAAAUACACAAAUGGGACCAGAACUCUAUCCCCACCAACGACUAUGAUAUACGACUAGGAUUUCAAUAAACAAUUUUUUCUCACACCUCUAAAGAAAAUGGGAUACAAUCUCACAUGAUAUAUUCACUUGCCGCAAAUAAGAAUUUUAUCAGCACUUCUCUGGGAAACAAGUGUCGAUAAGUUAUACCAGGGAAGACUUGCUAUCAAAUGGUUGAUAUCAGAACUGAAGAUAGAUCGCCAAAUCUGAUGUCUGACGCUUCUAUCUGAAGAAUAUAGCAACGUCAAAGGGCAAAACUAUAGGUAUAUAAAAUCAGGAGUAUUUGGUGCUUGUAUUGCUUCUGACAGCUAUGUGAAAUUUGACCAACAAUUGUGGCGUUGCAAGCCUUUUCACGUCUGGCCUGUCAUCUUCGUAGAAAUGAAUCUGUACAUGUUGUAUGAAGAGGUGAAAGUGCACACCUCCUUUUUGAUUUUGAAUAACUACAUUCCCCAAAAGCAAGCAGAGUUCCAUAUUAAAUGACAAGGGGAAACAGUGAAGAAUCCACCGAAGACAAUUUAGCCUGCUGGACUUCCUAAAAGUAUUUCAGCUGAUACAAUUACAAAUUCCUCACGCCAAGAGAAAACAGGCCACAAUCUGUUAUCACUAACCAGGAUUCACAACAUCUUCAACAUAAACUCCAGAGCCACAAAUGCAGCGAACCAAUAGCCCUUGCACAGUGAUUCACAUCACACUCCGAUCAAAAUGCUUCACUGUAACUGGCAAUUGUCAAAGGGAGCAAAGUUUCCGUUGCCAUGCAAAACCAAACCUCACAAUAUUCCAUUCAAAACUCUCUGAUAAUAGUCAUACUGCCGUGUCCGCCAAGCAUCUAGGCUGCUACUGAUAAGAGAAAGCACCAAGGAGACACAUUGCUGCUUGAAAGCAACACAUUAUAUUCAACAACCACAGUGGUAAAACCUUGAGCAGAAUGAUAUGAACAACGAAGUUAUAUAUUACCUCUUCUGUCAAACUUAGUUGGAAUCGUUUUCUUAGGUUCUGUAUGGUCCGUGGACCACCUUUAAAGCAAGGGAAACCAGAGUCCUGAUUCACGAUAUUUCACAAGUAUAGUUAGCAACAAAACAUCAUUAAAGAAGAUGAUUAAGUGCCCUGCAGUCUUUAACCUAAGGGGGAAAAAACAAACAUUUUUUGCAAUGCUUGAAACUUCAAAACGCAGGUAAAGAUUACAACAUGAAACUUCUCUUGUGGCUGUUUCUUGCUCCCUUUAAAUGUCCAUUCUCACAUUUGAUUCUAUUCAAUAUUAAUUGCAGCUUCACCAUUUCUUUCUCUCUCUCUCUCUCUCUCUCUCUCUCUCUCUCUCUNNNNNNNNNNNNNNNNNNNNNNNNNNNNNNNNNNNNNNNNNNNNNNNNNNNNNNNNNNNNNNNNNNNNNNNNNNNNNNNNNNNNNNNNNNNNNNNNNNNNNNNNNNNNNNNNNNNNNNNNNNNNNNNNNNNNNNNNNNNNNNNNNNNNNNNNNNNNNNNNNNNNNNNNNNNNNNNNNNNNNNNNNNNNNNNNNNNNNNNNNNNNNGGGGGGAUUUUAAUUAAAAGAGUGGUCAAUUGACUCCACAUUUUUGAAACAUUAGCCACUGCCACUCCCACCACCACAAAAUAAAAAAAUAAUAAUAAUCACAGUGGUAGGUCAGGGCUGGUCAACCUGAAUAGAUGCUAUACAACCAUCAUCAUCAUUGCUGCAAAAGUUUCUGAUAUAAAGUGCCAAACGAUGUAUAUAAAAGAAAAGGUUAAACAAAGACUUCCCAUUUGAACCACUUUCCAUCCAAUCUAAGAUUCUUAGAUACAAUUAGCAUUAAAAGCUCCCAUCAAAGAACUUCAUCAACUCAUGACGUUAACCCUAAGGGCCAUAUAUAGAUACAAAACAAAAAACUUGAAAGGAAGAAAAGAAAUGCACACUCCAAGUAUCUGCGUGCAUGCGUGCAGUUAAAGCUAAGCUAAGUUGGAGUUGGUAGUGUUACCUGCAACAUCUCAACAAGAAGAAUAAUCCGCUCUGCAUGCUUACGACAUGUUAAGAAGCCUUGAAUGCACAAAACCUAGAUUUGAGAGGCCAAAACCAUAAGAAAUUAUAAUUCCCCCAUACAAUGAGGACAAAAAGUUCCAAUAAAAUAAAUUUUUUAUCAGUAAGUACUUUAAAAUAGUCAAAGAACUCGCUUGGAACUCCCUCAGCAUCAGAAUCCAUAACCUGGAACAAUCACCAGAAGUCCAUUACCAUAAAAUCCAAAGCAAAACCUAAAAUCAACUAUAAAAUACUUAAAUAUCAAAAUCCCAUGAGGUUGUAGAACAAUGACACUGGAAGUGGAAAAAAGAUAAAUGGAAAAAGAAACCAGCACAAUAGACAUAGUACGGAUCAUAAAUAUUACCUCAAGGAGUUCUCUGGUUAAUUUGAAGGGAGCACUCUCAAAAUUGACACCACCAGGUGAAUUAGAGAGCAUGAAUCCAAAAUCAAUAUGUAUAAUGUGACCAUCUUCAUCCAGUAAAAGGUUUCCAUUGUGCCUAUCCUUCACCUAAACAACAGAUGUCAUAAUCAAAUUUCAUGAGUUUGCCCAGCUGGCUGGCAGUAUCAAAUAGAAGACUAGAGGCUAUCAAACAACACUUCCUUUUUAAAGAAGACUAAUGUGCAAAAUAGAAGCUGAAAUUAAUAUCUUUCAAUUCACACAAGCUGUGACUUGAGUUCAGUGGAACAACUUCAGUAAAAAUAAACGAAGACCAUGUUGAGCAGUUAAUUGACAUUAUAUCAGUGCAGCAAGUAGUUGAGGAUGCUGCUGAUUCUUAGGAGAAAGGUAACAAUUACAGGACAUGAACAUCACAGAUCAAUUUACAAGCAAAACUGAAAUUACUACAUGAUUUGACUAGCUAAUUAGUGAGGUUGCUAACCAGUAAAUUAGAUGAAAGAGUGGGAGAGAGAGCACCAAACCUGCAGCAGGUAGCACACUAGGGAAUAUCCGGCCAUACUUUCAACAAAGUUCCUCUGAAGGAAAACAAAUAAAUCAAAUAAUUAAUAAAGCAUCAACUCUGAAUCAGAGAGAGAAUAUCUUCAUGUGGAAAGCAAAAAAUAGACAAAAAUAAAUAAAUAAAUAAACUUUGAUUCACCUUUUUCAUCAUAUAACAAUUUUUUAAAAAGAGGAGAGGAAGAUAAAUGCAAAAAUGCUAGUCCCAAACCAUUUAUUUGACCUUUUCAAGGAUGAGUAAAGAAACCAGCCAUAAGCAGCUUAUGUAAAAGAUAAACAACCGAAUAAAGCAUUCUGUAGAAACAAAGCAUACAGUAUAUAUUCAAUGUUCUCUUUUAAUACUUUUCCUAUUAUAUAUUACUGCUUCACUAUAUAUCUUCCGACAUUUGUAAUCAUUUUGUAAAUUUUAAUAUAUAUAGUAACAUCUUUCAAAUUUGAGUAUUUUACAUUAAGGAUCUGUUCAAUUCAAGAGAUUUUACCUAAUAAUUUAAACGGCAUCACUGUGCUAUUUCUUUAGUAUAGGAUUAUGAUUAAUAAAAAUAUUUGGACGUGAAAAUAGCCGUGAGAAAGACAAACUAAUUAAAAAGAAGAGCGGGGGAGGUUAAGGAAGGGAAGGAGGAGGAAGAAGAAGAACAAAAGCAAAGGAAAAUGUGGACUGGCCCCAACUUGACCCAAAAAGUGAUAAUGAUAUUUGGGCUAUGCUAGGGCUGAAUAUCCUAAAUUCCAAUCAGGCUGAACAGGCAGCACCAUGCCAAAUAAGCCAGACCCAUUGGUAAUCCUAGUCUCCUAGACAUGAGGUACUGCAUCCCAAAUUCCCAAUUAACAACUAAGCUGACCAACUACCCCCAUCCCCCAAAAGAAUAUCAUUCAAGAUGGCCUACACCAAAUAAGUAAUCACUCUACUUUUCAAAUAAAGAUGAAAAAAAAGACAACUCACGCAACAGAAAAUGCAGCAGAGAUAGACGUCCAUUACUAUUCACAAACUUCUUAUCUUAUAGUCCUUUACUUGAAGUCCACACCAUGGAACUUGGCUGAGGUUUCCUAUGAGAAAAAGCAUGUAAUAGACAGUUUCACCUUUCAAAAAAGGUCAAUUCCUGAAAUCUUUCAAAAAAAGAUCAGUUCCUGAGAUCUCUUCAGAAUGAGUGACCUUACCAACCAUCCCCACUAAAGGACCCGUUCAUUUCAGCCCAAAACAGGGUCAAGCUUAACGUUGACCAAAAGCACAAUACUGCACUUCAAUUCCGAAGCUUUGGGAUACUCUUAUAAAGCGUAAACUUCAAGGAGGGAACAGAGAAGACUACAAUAAAACCAGAUACGACAAGUACAAAUACCAACAGCUAUGUUAAACAAGCAAGGAAAGUUAACUUCAAAGCCCUUCCCCCACACACCAGUUAUCGUCUUAGAAUACCUAGUAACUUACUUAACAAUGAUAUAAGUACUACUACAAAAAAUAACCUCAAAGUCAAAGGCUUCUAUGUCAUUUAUAAUUCCUGCCCCAAGUUGCACUAGGAAAUUUCGGACUUGAGCAGAAAGCAAAAGCUUUGUUGGCAUAUUCUAGUUUCUACAUGAUUGACAUAAGACUACAUCACUAUUACUUAUUCGUUGAUGAGAUGCAUAAGCAUCUCGACUCGAUGCACGCAUGACCAGUUAUGAAAGGAGAAUUAUGGCAUAAAUGGGUCAGUAGCAUUGGCCCUUUAUCCAGGUAAGUAAAGCUCUAGCCUCCAAAACUUGUGGUGGGAGGGAGUUACCAGGGUUCCUAAGCCUGAGGUGCAGGCAUGUGCUUGAGGGAGGUGAGGCGCCAAAAAAAAUUGUGGUCGUAUAACCAUCCAUAAUAUACUUGUCACUUAGUUCCUUUCCUUGUUUUUGUUCUAAUUCCAGAAUUAAAAUGAAUUCCUCUCCCUAAUUGCAUAAUUAAAAAUAACCUUUUCCCCCCUAAUUUAAUUCAUAGUUUCAAACAAACAAAUUAAUGAAGGAAUUAAUACAAACCUACAAUAUCAAGCAACAACCAAAGCAUCAAAUAACAAAGACAAAAACAAGGAGGGGGAAAAGCAUAAUGAUAAGGAGGUCUAGAAAAAGGGACUGACACUAGGCAAUUGAGAAUGAAGAAAAGGAGGAAGGAGAGGAGCAGGAGGCUGGACUAGAAGGGGAAAAGGAUAGAAAGAAGCAGAAAAACAUGUUAAAAAUAAAAAUUGAAAAAACAGAUGAAAGGAAAAUAGUUGAGGACCUAAGAGGCAUGUUUGAGUCAUAUUGCCUGCCUUUAGCAGGUUAAGAAGAUCAGGCUAGUGCCUCUAGUGACUUGCACCUUAGGUGCCCCUUUAUAAUAACCAUGUAGAUGUGUAGAACAGCUGAACAGAUCUAGAUACAAAAUAUUUGCUCAUGCUUCUCACACGGAACUAGCACUUGAGGACAAAAUUUUGGUGAUAUAAUGACUCAAAAGGGAAAUAAAUGCCUCUAAUAACCAAUCAAACAAAAGAAGCUUUUCAUAUUAUCAAAUCAUAGACUGCCUAAUAAUGUUGCGAGUGAGCCAAUAUUAUAUCCCCUUUUAAGAAUUACUAACAUCAUGCCUACAAUAAUUUCGCAUCCUAUGCAGUGAUGGAUACUUAUCAUGGAGGGACUGCUUCCAAGUUUUAUGUGAAAUAUAUAUUCACAGGGUGAUUGAGUUUUUCUAACUACAAAAACAAUAAUCUGGUGGCAUUUCACACCAAUAAUGCUGCAGUCCGUACCUGCGCAAGCUUAAAACUUGGGGAGUUCUCCUCAUACUUAGCAACAAAGAAGUCGCGCAAACUCGUGAUGUUGGGAUAUCUACUCUUGAUAGAAUGAAGUGAGGCCUGUAUAAAGGAUCACUGUUACUGAGAUAACAAAAGAAGUGUUAAGUGCUGAUUAACUAAAAGAGCAGCAUUACACAUACUGUAUCAGGAAUCGUCUCAAUGAGAGCUGUAUAAGAUGAAGUGACCAGAACUUCAAAGGGACGCAACCAGAGCGGGAGACCAGCUUCUUGGAAUAUAUCUGGCAUCAAAAAUAAAUUAUCAUAUGUCUCAUAUCCUGUUAAGAAAGAAAACAAAAUGCAAGAUUGCAAAGCAAUCCAUUAUAAAGUUUUAAUAUUAUGAGAUUCAAUUGAGUGUGCCACUGCCACCACAACAUAUUGAUUCAGCAAUUACCUACCAUGUCCAGCUCGUUGAUUACGUUAGUAGAAUAGAAUUUUCAGCUUCCUUUAUCAUCUCAAAAUUAAAAAGUGAAGAAUUUAAUUAAUACAGGAAAAUAAUAAAACUUUUAGAUGGAUGCCGAAACAGACAAGUUCCUUACAUCUGACCAAGAACAAACAAUAUUGCGGUUCUUGCACACUUUAGUAGUAAGAAAAUGCAGCAAAACAAUGACAACUUUCAGACUGAAAGUAUGAACUAUUGCUAGCACCUACCAUAAAAAUGCGAAAUAAGUUGCACAGCGAGAUGCUCCUGCCUACAAUCAUCACCACUCUUCACAAUAACCUACACAAGAAACAAGCAAAAGGUAUCGGAAUCACAAUCACAUGAAAAUACAAUUGUAACAGAAUAUUUACGAAAGACUUGGUUGCCCAACCCACUAGCAUUUUAAGAAUCAUAGACAUAUAACGACGAGCCAAAUUAAGAAAUUUACCACAUUCAUUGACCAAAUAAUCAAUUAGUAAAUGGUAUUUCAAUUUCAAGAGACACCACAUUGACAUCCUUCUAAAAUUCUUGAAGGAAAACAAAAACUGUUGAUAUGCACAAGUUCUUUUUCGUUUCUUUCUUCUUCUUUUUUUUCUAUUUUCAAGCAGUUCAAUAUGCGGAACUUACAGAGCGCAAGUCCCAACCAGGUAAUUUUCCAUAUACAGAAGCUUUACGAAUCCUCUCUUUCUUUGCCUCCCAGAGCUCACCAGAUAGAGCAUCACUGGCCUUAGGGGUUCCACCAUUAACCUAAUGGAAGUUAAGAACUUUUUGAGUUUCGGCAUUCCUCACUAAAAACAACUUGAUUUUCCAUAUUCAAGAAUGUUUAAGAAUGUCUACCCUCAGUCGUGCAUCUGACGAAUCUUGCCCAGCCCCCUUUAGAGGAAGUCCAGGAGGGGCUUCACCUUUGGCUGCAGCAGCCUGCAUAGAUAGUUCAAAUUUUACUAACACCAGUAAAAAACCAUAAACUAAUAUUGUAACCUUACUCCAUUUAGAAGCCAACCUUCACUUCUUCUAUGGCAAUCGUACUGGGAACACGACGAUGCUCCCUGCGACGAGGUGGUUCUUGAUCCCCAAUGUCAUCCAUCCGGACACCAGGGUCUGCUGUCAGCACUACCCUUACCCAUUCAAAUUCCCCAUCAUUAGUUGCUCUUUGAUGCAGUCCACUGCGAUUAAUGCCAUGGUGGAUAUCCUGUGCAUUGGUGUUUAUUGGAUGGCGAGGCAAUUGCUUCACCACAGAGAGGCUUACAUUAGCAAAUUUCUGUCUUGCCUCCAAACUAUGGGACAUUGCCUGGUCAAUGGCUUGAGCUGUAGAUCUUGACAUCCUAUCACUGCUAUUGCGAUACACUUCCUGGGUAGUCCACAAAGGAUAGGCCCACGGAGGUGGCUUUGGCAAAAAUGCAUCUCCAUUAGCUAGAGGAAUACCUCCUCUGGAAAGUUUUUGACCACCGAAUGUACCCUUGUUAUUGCUGAAAAAGUUUUGAAAAGAGUGUUUUGAAAAAAAAAUCAGAUAUAUGCGCCAAUUAAAUCAGUUCCAGAAACAAAUGUGCUGUAGAAUGGUCAAAUUGGGAACAUUGCUAUUUGUACCCAUGAUAUGACACCUUUAUUACCUUGGCAUUUCACAUUUCAAAACUUCAACACAAAUCAUAUAUGGUGCCUUUUCCCUAGAAUUCAAAAGAAUGGCUUCAUCUUCAGGUAUAUGAACUACACGAUACAUUCCCUUUCCCAUCGGAAAGCAAAUUCCUAACGAUAUAAACAACAGAUAAGUGUUAUGCAGAUAAAAGAAUAAGAAACAAUAGAAUGCAUGCGAAUAAGAUUUGCAUUUUAACUAAACAUUAUCAUUUUCAGCAACUCAAUUACACAAAUUGAUAAUAGUAAAAGAAGUUCAGUUUCUUGGUGCUGAACUUCUAUAUCUAAAACCUAAAACAUGAAAGAGAAUAUCAAUGAACCUUAUAUGUUACUUACUGAAGGAGAUCCUUUAUCAGUAAGCCUUAGUUCAUAAAGAUUGGCACCACUGGCCCAGUUGAAAAACAUUGAGAGCCCCAUUCACAAUGAUAUUUAAAUCUAGACCAUUUGAUGUUUGAGUUACAAAAGCAAUGCCAGAUUAUUUCGAAUUUGCAUCAGUCAAAACAUGAAUAUAAAAGAGACCAGAAAAACAGUUGGAGAGGAAGGGAAAUGAAAAGAAAAACCAAAGAAAGGCACUAAAAGCAAAAUAAUUAACCCAACAAAAUUGCAAAACAAACGACGCACAGCAAUAAAUAUCAUCCUGAGCAUGAAUGAUCAAUUUUGAAAAGACAGCCCUGCAUAAUUUGCAAGAUAUUUACAAAGCAGUAUUAUAAAACAUCUUGAAAUAACCAGCCUAAAAAUCCAUGCGUGUUUGCAUAAAUUCUCAACAUCAUUGAAAUAUAUAUAAUAGGUUGAAAAGAAUUUUUUUUAAUUUAAAAAAUUAAUAACAAAAAUGACCCAAACUUUUGAUAUUGAUUUCAAAGUUAAAAGUUUUAGGUAUUAGUAUAAUUUCAGUUGAUUAAAAAAAUCAAUUUCAGCAAUUCUUUUAAUUUUAUGUAUGAUUGAUACCAAUAGUUUUGACAUUGAUUUCUGUUUUAUCAAUGAAACUUAAAUUAACAAAAUAUAUUUUAUUCCUUAAUCAAAUUAAGUAUCAUUACUUUCAAGUAUUUAAAAGUAUUUUCCUUCCAUUUUAUCUCCCCCACUCUCCAGGUCCAAAAACAUAUUCCCCCCCUGUAUGUCCAUUCCACCUCAGACUUCAAGCCUAUGGAAGAACCCAACAAUUAAUGUAAAAGAAUGGAUGUGAUUCAAAAUCCCUUUUUCUUUGAGAAGGUAAGUAGGUAACAUCCUUUUGGUUAUUGCAAAAAUAAAUUACUUUUUCGCUAUUCUGCAGUUUUAUGACCAAAAUAUGUCACAUCUACCUCAAAAUCCGCCAUAUUUUAAUGUUGCCUUAUUCUCGAUGUCCAAUCCUAGAUGCCAUGACUUGCCUUCAAAUGGCCUUUUAUAGAAGCAAGUAUAAUAGCAAUGCCAUAGACCUUAAAUAUUCAAUAUUAUAACUUCAAAUCUUAUAGAAAAAGCACUAUCUUGCCACUUUCUGAGACUACUUUAGCCAGUAAAAAGGAUGCUCUAGAUACCUACAUAACAGAAUCAUUAAACACAUACUGAAAUUAGAGAGCAAUUAUUUCAACUUAAAUCUACAAUAAAUAUAGCAAGUACCUCCACUAUUUUGAGCUUCAGCUAAAUGCAAAUUGAUCUCCACAAGUGACUGAAAAUGCAAGAAUCACAACAGAGUAAUAAAUGUGUCAGAAAAAAAAUUCAAGAUAAAUGUCAAGUUUAGUUGCAUAAUAUCUACAUCCACACACAAGCAAAUGGGUCAAGGUAUGUGCACAUGCAUGUGAGCAAGCAAGCUUAUAUACAUAUGUGCUUGAGUGACCAACAGAUGGCACCCAAAACAGAAAAAGAAAGCCACAGAAAGCAUAAAAAAGAAUUGGACAACCUCACGAAGAGCACUUUUCCGAUCUUCAAGAGGAAAUACAUCUACUAAGCCAUAAGAAGUCUCACAUAGUGACAUCACAAAAUCCAGUGAUUCAUGAUAAGCCCCUUUUCUGAAAUGUGAUGCAGUAUUGUUAUGAAGUGGAGGCUUUGUGUUUGACUUGUCAUUCUGCUGCUUUGGUGAACCUGGCCGCUUCUGUCACAUAAAAUUAAAUUAGGAAUCAUAAGAAUCAUGCAACUAUAUACCUUAAGUAAAAGGAAUUUCCAACCACUGCAAAUACAAGUAUGCACUACAGCAUGCUAAAGAAUCUUGGUUAGCAUACUAGUUCAUCCUCCAAGAAAAGGAGAUGAGUACUAUCAAUAAUUAAUUUCUACUUACGCUAGAUACCUGUUUUCCCAGAUAUUCAUAAAGUUUAAGCAUAUGCUCAUUAAUUAAUUUUCACAAGCAAAAUUUCACAAUCAACUUUCUAUUAAUUAAGACUUGAUGUUGCUGCAUGUUCUACAUAAAUUCCAAUUUAGAAAAGGUUUAUCUGUGAAAAUGCUCACUGGUGGAAAGCCCAGUUUUACACUUAACCAUGUGUUGAAAUAAUAUUACAAGUUCAUGAUCAAAUUUCCAUAAAAAUAAGCUAGCACUGAAUGAUUCCACAUGCUCUCCAAUCAUUGCUUGGCUGCAAACAGAUUUCUUCAUUAUAUUACCUCUUAAUGAUAAUUGUUCCUCUUCUUAAUUUUGCUGCAUCCUUUAACAACGAAUAAUAAUGUAUCUUGAUGCUUCAAUUUUAUUGGUAGUUGCAAAAGUUCUAAAUCAGUCUGGGCUCUCAGAAACAUAAAUCUUUUUAAAAACUAGCAAAUGACCCUAGCAAAGGGCACACCAACGCUCCACAACAAAUCAACUGAUCAUUACCACCCAUUGCAACCACCAGACAACCAAUUCAUUCACCCACAUCAAUCUCUCUCCAAUAAGAACAUCAAUCCAAGCCACCACAAAAAUUAUCAGAGGCAGAGCACAUUGAUAUGAUCCUCAUGGCCAAAUCCACUAUUCCAAAUUUUUUAGCUAUUUGAAUUGGAAAUAGUUUACUUGGCCCAUUUGUGCUGCAUUAUACAAAUCCUUUUGGCUUAAUGCUCUGUUGAAUGAAUAACUGCUGAAAUGAUUGUUUAUGCACUGCCAGUUCACUUUUCUAUUUUGGCAUGUUAAUUUCAGAGGUUUAAAAAAGUGGAAAUUGUGACAAAGAUGCCAGUAGGAAAACUGCUGCUGGUGGUGACAGUAAUCAUUGAGGCAGUGAACCAGUUUUUGCCAUGUUUAUUUGAGAGAGGUGGAUGAAUUUGGUGGUUUGUGAUGGGAAGCAUUGAGGGGUAAGUCAAAUUAGUGCUCUAAAAUGGUAAGGUACUUAAGGGUGGGGGAAAGGGAAAUAAAUGCGUAAAGGGGGAUGAAUUAUUACCUUUCUCAGAAAGAAUUACUAAAACCUUAGCCAUAUCACUGCUUAGCCGGUCGGUUUGGACCCAAUUCAAGGAAACUAAACCUUAAGGUGAAAUUAGGGAAAAAAGGCCAUGAGGCUCAGUAUUUCACCAUAGUUUGAGGGAUUAUUGAUGCAUUUGGGAAGUUUGAAGAAUGUUGUGCGAUAAAAAUUUCUAAACCAGACAUACCUGAACUCAUCUUGAUUUAACAUAUGCUGGAACAAUCAUAACUACAUUCCAACUUAACAUGCAAACAUGUUUUUUGAUGGAGAUAUUCAUUCAUCUCCCCCGCCCCCUCCCAAAUAGAAAAAGUUAAUAUUGUCUACCUUAUACAUAACAACAUAGACACGGAAGAGAUUGAUGAGACUCAGAAAUCAAUGAAAAAAGCUUCUUUAAACACCAUUUGCUGUCUACACAACUCUUAUGCUAUCCACGCAUGAUGAGCCCGCAAUGGCACAGUCUAUACAGGAUUUUAGAACACACUACUUACUUCAGAAAAUAGUUUAUUUAGGUAACUCUGGGUAUGUAAAGCAUCUAGGGUACCUUUGGUAUUUGACAUCAUUAUUAGGAUUAGGGUCUAUCUUGUGAUCUAUGUAGGAAUUCUUAAUAACACAUUCAAAUGUGAGAUCAAAAAGAUAAGAAUGCAGCUGCAGUGGAUGAUGAAUUUAUUCCCUCAUUUAAAGGUAAUUUCAAAGAUACCUGACCAAGUGGGGUGGUCAUCCUGAUUUUAAAGCUACAAGGAUUUCUAGAAAGGAAUUUCUAUUCACCUGAAUUAUUAAUCAAAGCUGAACUCUCCAAAGUCAAUCUUCUUUAUUAAGAGAAAUGAUGUGGAACCCCCAGAUAGGAGUUUAAAUACUAUGUUUUUAGAAGAAAAAAAUGUGGAAAAUUGGUCAUUUUUUGUCCCUCUGGGUCUUAUAAUUAUGUUGGGCAUCUUUGGCAAUUAGUAUUACUAGGGGUAAGCACUGAGGUUUGUUUCAUUGUACCUAUACAAGCAUUCUUAUAACUCCUUUACCAUUAUAGGUUGCUUUGAUGAUAUUGGGAUAGUAGUUUAGAGCAUUAUUUCUUUGCCUUAGUAAUUUCAUUCUUUUUUGUACUGCCUCUACAUGAAAAGAUAAACAUCAUAACCAUAUACCCUAUCAUCUAAUUUAGGCUACCUAAAAGAAUAUGAGUGGAAACAGAAUAUAAAAACUCUACAAUCACAAUGAGAUCUUAAGAGAAAUAAUAAUGGUUCAACACUUCAAGCCUGUCAAUUUUACUCUCUCUAUGUAUAGGCAUCACACAGGCAUAAUUCCAAUAGGCUUAAAUUUACAAAAUUCCAUACCAACAAAAACCCCAUCCCAAACCCAAAACAUCAUAAAUCACACACGCAUAUUUACUACCCUCAUCGGUAUUCAAUAUCAAAAGCAAUACAUUUUGAGGAAAAACCCAAACUCUGAUGCAUUUCCACAAGCACAUCCCAUGACUAGGAUCCACUAAGCAACUUCAAUGACCAUUAAUCUUCUGUAUAUUUCAAAUACACAGUAAAAUUACCUUACCAGUGAAAAUAAAUACAAAUAUUAGGCCAAGCUAUGAAACAAAACUUUAUCAAAUAUUUACAUCACAAUUUCACAUCUGAAUAACCAUUUCACGCUCAUCAAGGAAACAUCCAUCAUUUUAAAGUGAUACUAUUUAUAAACAUAUAUAUAUACUGCAAGGUGAAUAUAUUUUCAAUACUUCCAAGCAUGACAUAAAAUUGAUUAUCAACAUACCUCUUUGUUCUUCUUUGAAACAAACAACUCUGAUUCUUCAACUGAACGAUCACGAUCUCUAAAUAGUUUGCGAAAAAAUCUUUCAGUUCCAGGGCUGCUCUCAAACAAACCUCCACCAUUCCCAUUUUCAUUCAAUGCAGUAUUCUUGGCAUCCUCAGGAUGCACCCGAAACAAUCUUCGAAACAAUGAAAAUUCGGAAGUUUCUUCUUCCUCGCCAUUGGCAUUUCGGUCAUCAAUUUUACCAUUUCCAUCUUUGGCAUUUCUGUCAUCAAUUUUACCAUUUCCAUCUUUCUUGUCCUCAAACUUAUCCUUAAAUAAUUUGCGAAAAAACCCCUCCUUUUCUUCAUCCUCUGCAGAUUUAGAACAUUUCUCUUCAGAGCUCACCCUUUCUUCAUGCUCAUCCUUCUUGUCCUCAAACUUCUCCUUAAAAAAUUUCCUAAAGAAUCCUUCCUUUUCAUCAUCUUCCACUGAUUUAGAAACAGAUUUGUCCUCAUCAUCACUCUUGCUAUCCCGAAACAACCUCUUAAAAAACCCUUCCGAGCUAGACGUCAACUCCUCAUCUUCACCUUUACUAUCCCUUAAAAGCCUCUUAAAAAUGCCAUCUGAUGUUGACGUAAUUUCCUCAUCAUCUCCUCUACUGUUAUCUCUCAAAAGCCUCUUGAAAAACCCAUCUGAAUUUGAUGCCGACUCCUCAGCGUCACCUCUACUGCUGUCUCGCAAAAGUCUCUUAAAAAAUCCAUCCUUCUCACUCUCUUCCUCAUCUUUCUCCACUGACUUCCUGAACAACAAUGCAUCCCUAACUUUUGGACCAGGAAUAAACUUCUUAAAUAUGCUGUUCUGGUCUGGAGAUAAUAGAUUUCCAUCCUCAACUAAACUACUCCCGGAUGAGGGUGAAAAAGACAGAGACUUAUUAGUAGGUGGUGAAGAUGUCAGUGACAAAAACUUCUGUUUUGAUGACAAGAUUUUAUUCAGAACCGGGUUCUUACCUCCAACGCUAGAAGACUCACUUGGUGGCCGCACAAGUGGAGGCCAUUCUCCCAUCAAAGUAGCUGCAAUCUGACACUUCUCCUGAAUCCUACUAAUCCCUUCAUUAUCAUCAGAAUCCUCAAUCUCCGCCAACAAAAACCAAUGCACCUUCAGAGCUAUCAGUAGUGACUUUGAGCAUAUAUCAAUGACGAACUUAUCCAAAGAUGGGCUGGGCUUGUGUAUUACCAUGUAACAAAUUUGGAACAGGUAACUUUCGAUACCUGAUAAAGGCAAUGUAUACAUUCUAUUACAUAGAUAGUCACGUACACCAGCAUGAUCAUGCUUGUAUAGGUAGCUCACUGCGAUCCACUCACAGAAAAAGGCCGAGUCGAAGAACCUGAUUAGCCACCCGCUCUCGCCUGACUCACUUAAUAGGCUAGUUCGGGAGGUGAUCUCCCUGGGUGACUCGUCUGAUUCUCCACGACUCAGUCCCAGAAGCCGCACCAUUGUCAUACUACCAUUAUAAGCCCCAAGUCCCAAAAUCAGAUCGAUUGAACCUUGAUUGGCUGGCAAUCCAAACACAACAAUCGAAUUGGAUAAAGCAGACCAAGCAGAACUCUCCUCUUGAAUAUUAAACCCUAAAAUCGCCAAAAAAUUAUCAAAAUCCUGAUUCUGUCGCCAGGGCCAGCUUCCAAAAUUCUCAGUUACUUGAUUCAAAUGAACUCCAGCACAUUAAAUCUGCUAAUUCACAAAAAAAAAAACCUAAUUCUCUGCACAGGUAGACCAAAGAAUGCAACCUUCAGUUUGUUUCUCGGGAAAAUUAGAAGAUGAAUAAGAAGAAGGUACAGCAAGAAAAUGAUGGAGAGAUCUUCUGAAGUCAAAAGGAGCGCUCUAUUUUCAGUUGAUGAGACGAGAGAAUUGAAAUAUUACUUGCAGAGAGAAAGUUCAAAUGUUAAAUAUGCGAGAAAUAGUAAGACUUGAGAGCAGAUCUCGUGAAUCAGAUACGCAUAGAACGACGCCGUAGGCGUUGGGGGUGUUGUCCUCUAUGCUGUCACAGACAGCGAAACGGGAGGGUGAAGUAAUUAUUGUUAAUAUUAGAAAUUCAUUUAUUUUAUUAUUAUUUAAUUUACAGAAAGAAAAUUGGGGUUUUGCUAAUAUGCGCGACAGAUCGCGCGCAACUUUGGGAGGAAUCUCCUCGACUCCCUUUCCCUCCAAGCUACCUCAAACAUGGAUUUUGAAAAAAAAAAAGUUUAUUUUCUUUGUUUGUUGAUGAGUGUACUUCAAUAAUUUAAUUAUUUUAGAUUAAAAAUAAAUAAAUCAUUCUAUUCAUCACUUCCAAUAAUUUACUAUUUGUCAAUGAAUUUAAUCCAAACAACAUAAUAGAAAAAUAAAUAAAAGAUAAUCUAUUUGUUUUCCUCUUUUAUUUUCUUUUAUCCUAUUUAAAUUUUGCCAAAUAUAGCAUUGAGCUCAAAUAGUCCACAACAAAAUCAAGUAGUCCUCUUAAUUUUGUUUUUCUAAAAUAAUUUUUAAAUAAAAAGUAAAUCAUUGCAUUCAAUUCAUUUCCAAUUUAAAAUGAAUCUUAAUUUUGUUUUCCUAAAAUAAUUUUUAAAUAAAAAGUAAAUAAUUACGUUGAAUUCAUUUCCAAUAAUCAUUUCAUUUUAAAAAAAUAUUCAGUUCAAAUAAAAAAUAUCAAUAAAAUCGAAUUAAUUUAAAAUUUUAAUUUAAUUUUAAUUUAUUUUAAUUUGAUUUAUUUUAAAUUUUAAAAAUUUUAAUUAUUUCAAUUCAUUUUAAUUUUGAUCAUAAAAAAAUAAAAAAAUUGAAUCAAAUAAAUUGAAUCGAAUUGAUUAAUAAUAAUAAUAUAUUAUUUAUAAUAAUAGAGAGAUUAGAUCAUAUUAAAAUUAAAAUAUUCUAAUUAAAUUUUAAAAUACUAAAAUAAAGUAUAAAAAAUAAAAAAUUUAUUAAAAAUUCAAGUUAGUCAAACCAAAUUGAAUGAAAUAAAUUCAGUUUGAUUCAAUUUUUGAUCAAAAUCGAUUCGAUUCAGUUUUUAUAAAUACCAAAAUUUUUAUUUUUAAUUUAUUCGAUUUGAUUCGAUUUUAAACUAAACUGACCGAAUAUUCACCUUUAAUUAUACUCGAUCCAUUUUUUCAAUUAUUUAUUAAAUAAAAUAAAAUAAAACUAAUUCAUAUUCUUAAUUUUCGUAAUAUUCCAUUGAAUUGAAGUGCUUUAUUUACUGUUGUCUAAGUUUAGUGUCAUAAACUUCUUAACAAAAAAAAGUCAUAAACUAAUAAGAAUGAUUAAAUAAAAAUAAAUAAAUAAAUUAUAUGCGUGCAAUUAAUAUUUAUUUCAAUCACGGGUUUAGCCUGAUAAGUAAAUUUGUAAAAUUUCGUAUUUCACUCACCAAUUUUUAAUUUUUAAUUCAAAAAAAUUAAUGUUUAUUAAAUGGUGGAUGUUUUUUCACAAUGUAACUCACAUUUAUUAUUCUCAUUAGAAAUAAAUUAAAUUAAAAUAUUAAUUUUUAAAUUUUACAUAAUUAAUAAAUUAAUUUUUAUAUUUUCAAUAUCUCUAAAAUCAAUCAUUUCAUAUAAGCUACCAAAUUGAAAUGAUUUUAUUAUUCUUUUAAAUUUAAGAUAUUAAUUAAAAUCAUAAUUUUUUAUUAAACACUUUGUCUUUUCAAUUAUCAGUUCAUAAUGCACUUUAAUCUAAUUAAUAAAUUCAAUAAAUAUUAAACAUUUUAGUAUUUUCACUUAUCAUUAUCAUUAUAUAAUACACUUCGUCAUAAUAUCAAAAUCAUAACAUCAAUUGCAAAUGUAAAUUAUUAAAUUUAAUUAAUUAUAAAUAUUUUUAUUCUUUAAUUAUCAUUGAUUUAAAUAUUUUAAUUUUUAUAAUUUAAAUGAAUAGAAUAAAUGGUAUUUUAAAAAGAAAUUUAUAUUUUUAUAUAUUUGAUCAUUUGAUUUAAUAUUUAAAAUUGAUGAAAUUGACUUAUUUUUUUAUCAGAAUGACAUAUGAUAAUUUAAAUAUUAUGAAGAAAAAUCUAUUAUUUAAUUUAUAUAUGAAAUAAAAAAGGAAACUAGAUCUCCUGGGCAAAAUUAUGAAAACUUGGUGUGAACAGAAUAUCCCAGAUUUGACUUCCUUGCCACCCAUACGAUUCCAAGAUUAGAGAUGUCCGUAUAAAGUUUGAUUCCACCCGAUUUGAUUCUAAUAAGUUCGUCAUAAUUAAAAUUUUAUUUGUAUAUGAAAAUCAAUUUAAAGUUUUUUUAAAUUAAGCUGAGAUAUUUAAUUAUUAAAAAAUUAUAAUUAAUUUUAAUUAUAAUUUUAAGUUGCUGUCCUAUCCCUUGCUAGCAAUCAUAUAAUAUAUCAUAAAGAAAUAUUAUUUUUUAAAAACUUUAAAACAGUAAUUAAUAAUUAAUAAUAAUAUUUUUAAAUAAUUAAUAUUUUUACCAAAUCUUGAUCUGAAAAAUCAAAUCAGAAUUAGAAUAAGAAAAACAAGAGAAAUGUGAAAAAAAGAUAAAUUUUUAAAAAGAAAAUAUUAUUAUUUGAUUCUUAUAUUAUUAAAAAUUUUAUUAAGUAAUUUUUUAUUUUUAAAUUAUAAUAAAUAAAUAAUAAAAAUUUUAAUUAAUAAAAUAAAAAAAUUAAUUAAUAAAUUUUUUAAAAUUUUAAUAUAUAUUUUUAGAAUAAAAAAAUCUACUAACGUGUUAAUUAAAUAAUAAAUUUUUCAUUUUUUAUAUUGUAAAUGUAAAAAAAAAAAAAACACCCCUCUUUUUAUUCUUUAAAUGGCAGGCGGACGGGGAGUGGCGCAGUCCAUUUAUGGAGUGGCAAAAUCCAAGCCCAUAUAACUAAAUCGACAGCCUGACAUGUCCAAAAAGUCCAAAUUUAUGAAGCAAUCGGACCAAUCAAAAGCCGAGGAUUCCUACAGAAGCUUGCUGUCCAAUAGCAUUACCCCGAAUUAAUUUACGGAAAAGCCCCUCUUCCAAGAAGCAAAAACGUGUUAUUUUUCACUCGUCCAUUUGUGUAUAUAUAAGGAAGGCAAAUCCCCUCGCGCUCUGUCACUCUCUAGUGGUGGCUCGCUCUCUGCUAAUCCUUCCUGCUCUCAGGCGUAUCGCCUCAUUAGGUACGAUCUUUCUAGGGUUUGUUUGUCUUUAUGAUUCCUUAAUCUGGAUUUUUUUCAGUUCUUGCCUGGUUUUUACUAUUUUUCUUUUUUUCUUGGGGGACAAGAAUUUAGGUUUGAUUUUAAUCUAUUUGUUCCUCUUUUUCUUUUUUCCAUUUGAUUUCGUUCGAUCAUAUUUCAAUGGUUUUUUUAUCCAUUAGGUACAAAUUCUACGUUCUCCUGCGGUUUCUUUGUGUGAAAUUUAAAAUUUCAAUUACCGUGGUCAAAUUCUUUAUCUUUGGAUUUUUGUCCGAUGUUAUCUUGACGACGUAUCUUUGUUUAUAUUUGACGAUCCUGAUAGUUUCGUGUUGGUUUCAGUUUGUUUCAUUUGUCGGAUUCUUUCCUUUAUGUUCUGUUUUAGAGUAUAAUCUAUAUAGGAUUCUUGCACUGUUUAUGUCUUGCAACUGAUUUCGCUUAGUGAUAAUGUUUAAAACAGGUACGUAUUGCGCAUCAAAUGUCUUUUGAUCUCUGGGAGAAAAAUUCGACAUAUCUUUGGUGUGACUUUGGGUUUAUGAGCAGGGGGAGAUUGUGGUGUUCGAAUAAGAUAUUGUUUCGACAUUGGACUUGAUGAUCUGUUUCCCGUUUUUCUUUUGUUUAUAAGAUAAACAUCUCGUUUAAUCUUAAUUGCAAGAGGCAAAACUGCUGUAUAGGGUCUGGUACUGCGCAAGCAUACUUUGAUUGCUCCGGGAAGUAAUACUGCAUAGUGGAUUCAAUAACUUCUGCUCAUAGUGGGUUUUCUUAAGGCUCCAAUUAUGGGGAAAAAAUCCCUGCCUCCAGGGUUCCGAUUUCAUCCAACGGAUGUUGAACUUGUUAAGUACUAUUUGAAGAGAAAAGUGAUGGGGAAGAAGCUUCUCAUAGAUGCCAUUGCAGAGGUUGAUAUUUACAAGUUUGCUCCUUGGGAUCUUCCAGAUAAAUCUUAUUUGAAGACUGGGGACCUCAAAUGGUAUUUCUUUUGCCCCAGAGAGAAGAAAUAUGCAAGUGGGGCUAGAAUGAACCGUGCCACUGAUUUGGGGUACUGGAAAAUCACAGGCAGGGAUAGAUCUAUUAAUUAUAAUGAUAAGAUUGUGGGGAUGAUAAAAACCUUGGUUUUUCACAGAGGCAAAGCUCCUAAAGGGGAUCGAACUGAUUGGGUUAUGCAUGAAUACAAACUUGAAGAUAAGGGGCUGGAUCUCAGGGGAGUUGCGCAGGAUGCUUAUGUGCUUUGUUCAAUAUUCAAGAAAGAUGGACGUGGCCCGAAAAAUGGGGCUCAAUAUGGAGCACCAUUUAAGGAGGAAGACUGGGAUGAUGAUGAGGCGGAGGAGGAGGAGGAGGUUAAUUUUGUUUCGUCAUUUAUCAUGUCUGCACCAGUGCCAGUUAAUCCAAAUGGUUCUGUAGUUACAAACCCACAUGUGCCAGAAGGCACAUGCAUAGGAUCUACUGCGUUAUGUCCAUCUGAGAUGCCAUCUGCAUCAAACAUCGACACAGUGGUUGCUGAUAAUUAUGUUGCAUCAAAAGAGCCUCACCAAGUUGGAACUGAGAAUGAUGAUGUUGCUGUGUUGGCCAACUUCUCAGAGGAAAGUCCGGGAUCUACUGCCUUAUGUCCAUCUGAGUUGCCAUCUAUAUCACAUAUAGAUGCAGUGGAUGCUUAUGAUGAUUUUGCAUCAGAAGAGCCUCCCCAAGUUGGAACGGAGAAUGAUGAUGUUGUUGCAAUGUUGGCCAUCUUCUCGGAGGAAAGCCCAUUUAUUCUAACCAAUGACAUGAAUGAGGUUUGUGACUUUCUCUACUCUUUUUAACUGAAAUAGAAUAGCCAGUGUUUUCUCUACUUAAUGAAUUUGUUCCUUGAUGUUUCUUUGCUUUUUAUUAUUGUGACUCCUGGGUCAUUGUUUUGCUAUCUGGCAUAACAUCUGAAUACUUUUAAUGGAAAUAUUAAUUUUAAAUUUUUUAAAUAAAAUGAUUUGGGAGGAAAAGUCAUAAAAAGUUGUCUUGUAGUGGAGUAAUAAUCAUCUCAUGUAUAGAUGAAGACAAACUCAAAAUUAUAGUUAUUACUUCUAACAUUUUCAUGUAAUUCAUUCUAGUUUGGAAGGCAUUUUUUAGGGUCGAUGUAAUUUCUGAAUUAUGGCUUAGUUUGGCCCUUUAUGGCACUUGUAUUUGUAUCUUGUAUUGAAAUAGAUUGUAAUGGUGGUUUCAAAGCAGGUUCAUAAUAUCAAUGAUGGUGGAAACAAUGUGGUUAAUCCAAGUUCAGACGGCAUUGAUAUUUAUGAUGGCUUGGGAGACCUGGGCAACCUAAAUAGCUUUGGUGAUUAUAUACCGCCAACCAGGGACCAAAUGCUUGGAGGAGAUGAAAUGCAAUAUUUGGAGCUGAUGGAUCUUGAUGAGCCUUUGGAUUGAUCUACUGAAGGUGGUGGAUACGAACAAGUCCACACUGGUGGUUUGUAUGCUAAUGGGAGCCGCCGCUUUGAUUCAGAAGACUUGUAUUGCAUUGCUAAUCGUCGUAAGUCUGCAAAUUUUGUCCAUGAAACAGCAAAACUUCGUCGCACGCGUGAAGAUGGGAAAAAGACAUGGAGAUAAGAAAUGCUAGUUUUAUUAUUAUUAUUAUUAUGGAAAUUUUUGUGUUCCAUUAUGUGGGGCACGGACCUAACUAAGGGUACGGCAGCCUUUUUCUGCCAAGCAAAAUUUUUAUGCCCUCACCAGCUGAGAAACAUUUAGGACCUGUUUACUUGUGUGCUGAAACAUUGAUUUCAUUUUCCAUAUUAAUCGUAGUCAUCUUUCCACUUCAAACAGUGGAAAACAUGUUCCUGCGUGAUAAUUGUCGAUAGCUUAAGGCUUUUACGUGAAUGACUUGGAAAGGAAAAAACAUGUCUCGUCUAAAAUAGUUUUAAUAGUUGUAUGACAUCACACCAUUUUUCAUAAAGCCCAGUUAAGAUUGCUGUAUGAACAUGAGCUGAUGAGCAUCAAAGCCAGUACUAUUCAUGGCCAUCCCAUCCCUAGGUGCUAUACAUCCACUGUUCUUACUCCACUUAGCCAUCUAAAUGUAAACAAAAUCAACAAAGCUGUAGUCUAGCAUAUUACUAUAUAACUACGCAGCAUUAUUUGAAAACUCAGCUUUGCACAAGUACUUUUAAAAGUGAGUUGCUUCUGCAACGAGUCUUCUAGUUAGCUUGUUUAACUGUCUUGUGACAGUUAGUUAACCAAAUACUUACUCUGACUAUGCAAUCAAAUGCUUGGUUAUCAUGAAAAAUAUCAUGUACACCAAUAAAAAGAGAAUGCUUGAGAGAUUUUCAAAUUAAUUGGAAUGGUAAUUCAGUAAGGUGGAGCGCACGAUCUGAUGCGUUCUUCAAGAUUUCUCCCCGCCUCCCCCCCCNNNNNNNNNNNNNNNNNNNNNNNNNNNNNNNNNNNNNNNNNNNNNNNNNNNNNNNNNNNNNNNNNNNNNNNNNNNNNNNNNNNNNNNNNNNNNNNNNNNNAAAAAACAAGCUCUCAUCUCUCUCUACUAUCUCUCUCAUUUUGCCUCUUUAGCUGUCUCCAUUCUCUCUCACGUAGGCACUUCUUUUGCCUCCCACAGAAUAUAUUGCAUUCUCUCUCACGUAGACACUUCUUGCUAGAAGUAGAAACUUUACACGAUAUAUAUUGCGACACAGAAAUAGUAAUUAAUUAAAGAUGUUACUUGUUUUUUAUUAUAUGAUUUGAAGAAAUAAUUUAAAUGGAAUCCUGUAAUAAGAUGCAUCACUUUAAUUUUUUUAAAACGAAAACUUUUUAAAUAAAAUAAUUGAAAAAAAAAUCAAUUAGAAUUAAAUUUUUGUAAAGUUCUUUAUUUCAAAUCGAAGUGUAUGUAUAAAAACAAUGAGAUCCAAUUUUUUUACGUUUUAAAAAAAAAAUCUUUAAAGAGGGGAAAAAUCUGAGAA
rnacentral:lncRNA from 1 species